rnacentral:lncRNA from 1 species
CCUUCUCCCCCUCCCCGUAGCCGCCUUGCUCGCUCGCUUGCUUGCUUGCGCGUCUGAAGAUGGCGAGGUCGUCGUCGCCGAUGGCGAGGCAGCUGCAGCUGCUGCUCGUGGUGCUGUGUGCGUCGUGGCUGGCCUUGCAGGCGGCGGCGCAGAAGUACAAUGCGGUGUACAGCUUCGGCGACUCGAUCACGGACACGGGCAACCUGUGCACCAACGGGCGGCCGUCGGCGAUCACCUUCACGCAGCCGCCCUACGGCGAGACCUACUUCGGGAGCCCCACCUGCCGCUGCUCCGACGGCCGCGUCAUCGUCGACUUCCUCAGCACCAAGUACGGCCUCCCCUUCCUGCCCCCCUCCAAGUCCACCUCCGCCGACUUCAAGAAGGGCGCCAACAUGGCCAUCACCGGCGCCACCGCCAUGGACGCCCCCUUCUUCCGCUCCCUCGGCCUCUCCGACAAGAUCUGGAACAACGGGCCCAUCAGCUUCCAGCUCCAGUGGUUCCAGACCAUCACCUCCUCCGUCUGCGGCAGCAGUGAGUCCACAGUCCACCAUGCUUUUCUUUCCUUUCUUCAAAGCCCACCAUGUCUGCAGACUGCAGGGCAUGCUCUGCUCCUCCCUUAAUACUCUAGUACGAGCAGCAUAAUUUCCUGCGCCAUCCAGCUGUCUCCCCCGCCACUGCCACUGCCACUGCCAUGCCGCCAAUCAAGAACUUUACUCACUGUCCAUGGAGGCAUGGACCCUAGCCAUGCCUGCCUGAUUCUUGACUAGUCUUUCUGAUCUGAUGAUGCAGGCUGCAAGAGCUACCUGGCCAACUCGCUCUUCAUCUUCGGGGAGUUCGGGGGGAACGACUACAACGCGAUGCUGUUCGGCAACUACAACACGGACCAGGCGAGCACGUACGCGCCGCAGAUCGUGGACACCAUCUCCGCCGGCGUGGAGAAGCUGGUGGCGAUGGGGGCGACGGACGUGGUGGUGCCGGGCGUGCUCCCCAUCGGCUGCUUCCCCAUCUACCUCACCAUCUACGGCACCUCCAGCGCCGCCGACUACGACUCCCUCGGCUGCCUCAAGAAGUUCAACGACCUCUCCACGUACCACAACAGCCUGCUCCAGGCCAAGGUGUCCACCCUCCAGGCCAAGUACAAGUCGGCCCGCAUCAUGUACGCCGACUUCUACGCCGGCGUCUACGACAUGGUCCGGAGCCCCAGCAAAUACGGUACGUCUACAUGCCUACACACUAGUCAUAAUACGUACUGGAGGACAUGAUUUCAUGCACACGCCGGCGGCUAGUCUCGCCGUGGCGGCACUGUGGGUGGGUGGAUUUCAGUUUUCAAACUCGCCGUGGACCACGUCCUCCGUUGUCGGCGCAGAGCGUUUCUCGUUGUUGGACGCGCCCGUCACGCUCUGUCCUGGCAGUGCGGCAGCACCAGCACGGGACAUGCAUGCAUGGUGGCGGGAUUAAAUGAAGGAUUAUUCGGCGUUUAAGGCUCAUGCAGUGCCGCACUGCUGCACCACACCACUUGCUCUGCACUGCUGGCCGGUAGCGUGGUCACCACCACAUGCCCGUCCGUGCGUCCGUGCGUGCGACGGCCGUAGGGACGGAUUCCUGCCGUUAGCCCGGGCUGCGCGCUCCGGCGCCGGCCGUGGGAGCGUGAUCGUGUCCAGUGCCCAGUCCUGCCUGCACGCGGUCGAUCGCCGGCCGGUGAAUAGAAAACUAGGUCGCGGGCCGACACGGGCGCGCUCGUGAUCCCGAGCGAGUAACGACAUCCCAUCACGGGGAAAAUAAUGGCGGAUGCGCGGGGUUUGGUAGGCGCUGUUCCUUUAAAAUCGGCGCUACUUGCAGAAGCAAACAGCCGUUGCUCUGUUUCCCCAACCCAACACAUGCAUGCAGCCCCGGUGGCGGUGGGUGGUGAACGCCCGCCGGGACACACGCCACUGCUCCCGCACGUUGCCGAUCGGUCUCAAAACCCUCGGAAUCUUCGUACGAGGGAUCCAUCCAUGAUGGAUGCUGGAUAUUGCAGAGCAAGAAACCAAAACGAUGAACCAACGAACACUGUGGUGUGGUGUGGUAUGAUAUGAUUCCGAUUCAAGAUCUGACUCGCGUGGAUGUGGAAUGCAGGUUUCAGCUCGGUGUUCGAGGCGUGCUGCGGGUCGGGGGGAGGCAAGUACAACUACGCCAACAGCGCGAGGUGCGGCAUGUCCGGCGCCUCCGCAUGCGCCAGCCCGGCGUCGCACCUCAGCUGGGACGGCAUCCACCUCACCGAGGCCGCAUACAAGCAGAUCACCGACGGAUGGCUCAACGGCGCCUUCUGCCACCCCGCCAUCACCCACUAGCCACCCCACCUCAGUCCGUGCAUGCAUGCAUGGGCGCAUCAAAAACCUCAUCGUCGUCGUCGUCCAUGAAUCCAUAAUCAAUCAAUCAAUCAACCGAUCGAUUAUCAUUAUAUUAUUAUUAUAAUUAUUAUUAUUUGUUCAGUCGGGUUAACUAUCAUAACGUGUCUGGGGACCGGCCAAGGCUAAGGUUCCCGGUCUGAUCCGGUGGCAAAAGAAUCGGGGCGCGUCUGUGGUGACGAGUGAAGAAGGAAGAAGAAGAAGAUGACGGCAAGCGUCGUGGAAUAGUAGUGCGGCCCGUGCUGCUGUUGUUGUUGUGAACCUGUAACCUGAUAGUAGUAAUUGUUUUGUCCCAUGGAUGGAAAAAAAUAAUGAAAAGGAAAGAAAUAAUGCAAGGAACUUUCUGCCGUGGCGGCUAGGAAUUUGGUUUGGAUCUUUCGCCCUGGCGCACGGGGUCAUGUGUGGUGUGGUCGGAGCUUUUCGGUAAAGACACUGCACAAAUCCCGCCGACUAGUCUAGUAAGUAGACACUGUGGUGGUCGCUCGUCGGGGCAGAGCCCGUGACAACGACGGACAAACCUGGGCAACGGCUCCUAUCCUGUCCUCCAUGAUUGACAGGUGAACGGAGUACCGCUGAUCACCGUGGCGUUUCAUCUCCGUGGAACAGCAAGCUGCGUCCCAAACGGACGCACGAAUUUGUCCGUUUUUCCUUCGUUUGGCUCGACCGAGCGGACACCAGUGUCCGCUUUUUUAAAUGGAUCAGUCAGACCAGACCGUCCAACGCAGGUUCGGAUGCAAACAAUUGAUAAACAUAAUUAAACAUUAAAAGGCCGGUCAAAGCCGGCCCAAGUCCACAUAAAACAUAAUUAAACAUAAAUAAAAAAACGCGGACGCCCUCGGCCGUCCUACGCAUCGUCUUCGUUGUCGUCGUCGGGGAGGUGAGGUCGAUGAGCUCCGGGACCGGCCCAGCCCAAGGGAACGCUCCCUCCCACGCCUGAGCAGCGUCCUUGCCCGGCAGCAUCGACGGCGUAGGCUGAUGGGCUCGCUCCUCCUCCUUCCGCUUCCGACGCUCCGCCUCCUCCUCCUCCUCACGCCUGCGCUCGAGCUUCAUCUGCUCCGCCGCCUCGGCCUCCUCCCUCGCCAGUGCCAGCGACUUAUGAUGCAGGAGGUACUCUUUCUCCUCCUCCGUGCACACAUACCAGACGGGAGGCGCGGACAUCCACUACAGGAGCUGGCUAGUCCACUGGUAGGUGUGUGGCUGGCGCGCCUCGGCCUCAGCGGCCGGCGAAGAUCGAGGAGGGGGCACGACGCAGUCGCCCCCCGCGGACAGCGCAAGGACCUUUUCGAGACCUACCCAGCGCACAUCCUCUUCGCGCCUGCUCUCCUCGAUGGCGUAGGUUGUUGCCUCCUCCUCCUGCUCCUCUGGCAUCACUUGAGGGGGCGGUGGAGGGAUGGCCGUAUCGAACUGGGCGCCGUGGAUGCGCUCCCGCUCGUGCUCGACGGCGAACCAAACCUCCCAUUCAGGAGAGUCGGCCGCGUACGUCGGGUCGUGCCGCUGCUCUAGAGUGAGGAGCGCGCCGCCGGCGGACCUCCUCCGCGUGCGCGUGCAGACCGCGACACUGCUGGGAUAGGGAUGCGGUCGGGGUCCAGAUGCCAACCUUGGGGGAGGUUGACAUCUGGGUAGGACAAAGCUUGCAUGUACUGCCAGUGCCACCGAGCAUGGUGGACUGGGAUGUACACGCGCUCCCGCGAUGACGCCGACACCUUGGACGAGCUCGCGCCGGCGGUGAGCUUGCCCUUGCCCUUGCCGAAGAAGCCCAUGGCUAGGGUUGCGUGGUCGCUGUCGGGGAAGCAAGCGUGGCUAGAUGUGGACGGGAGGGGAAAGUGGAUGAGGCCGACCCCAACACACGCUUUGGAAUAAAAAAGGACCCAUGACCACCUUCCACCCACUGCCAGGCGGGCCCGUAGGUAGGUGGUUGCAUUUAAUACGACCGGAGAGUCGUUGGCCGGCCGACGAGUGGGGCCGAGGCGGACACGAACGGGACGCGCGGCGAGUCCGCUCGGCGUCCGCGACGACGCAAAUCCGCCCUAAAUGUGGACCUGAAAUGGGUUGACGCGGACAUGAAACAAACGCGAUUUGGGACUAGGUCGGCGCGUUGGGCGCCUGUUUUCGUCCGCUGCGACCCAAACGGACGCGGACGGACGAAAUGGUGUGUGGGGCGUCCACUUCGCGUCUGCGCCGAUGCAGCCAUGGUCGCCGACGCAUGGACCCGACGAUGACGGGCGUCAUAAAUUAUGUUGAUCGCGGUGGUUGGGACGGACACCGAGGGUGCGCGCGCGUCCACUUCACGUCCGCGCCAACGCAUUUCAGUCCCAAAUUUAGACCGAAAAUGAAUUGUCGUGGAUGCGUUUUGGCAAUGGGUCUACGCGUUGGACCAUCAUUUUUAUUCGCGCCGACCCAAACGAACGGCGACGGACGAAAUGGAUGGCAAGUUGCUCUUGGUGCGAGAUUCGCUCGUUAGGCGGAUAGGGUGCGGUGCACAGGCCAUUCGGACAGCGAGUGAUGUCGACUCGUGGGUCUUGACGGCCGAAUCUCUCUCAACCACCACGUCGAAUCAGCUUGAAUACAAGGGAGUGAGUGAAUGCGUACUCUUUCGCAAGUGGCCGACGACGCGGGGCGAAAGCGGACUGAGCUUUUCUUUGUUAGCUGGAGUCCGUGGACUUGCUAGACCCCAGAGACAGCUACGCGCUCUACCACAAGACCCAUCAUCAUCGUCAUCAUCCUUGCGAGCAGGAGGAUCCUUCCCAUUCAAUGCUGCCACCAACGUCUCUACUACUUCCCUAGUUGGCGACACGGCAGUGUCAUACCGGUGUCGGGAACUCGAGGAUGGCAUCUUGGCAAAAAAAAGGAUUCAAUCGAGCAGUCCAUAUCCUUUACUCCAAUCUUUCAAGAAUGAGCUGAUUGGCGCAGAAGGCAAAAGAACGUAUGGGGCGCUACUCAAUUUGUACUACCGCAUUUUUUUUCCCUUCUAUACAACAAAACUUUUGUCACGACGACGGCGCAUCCGACGGUAAUGAUAAUACAGUUGUGGUUAAAAAGCAGGGUAAGAAUGCGCUGCAACUGCGGCGUGGUGUGGCGCCGCGCCUGAAUCGCACGACGCAGCUGUCUCGUCAGUGUGCCUGGUAUGCUCUUGCAAAACGGCAAUCAUUGUACGUACUACCUGGUGACGGAAUCGAAUCGAAUCGGAUGGUGUAGGCACCCCAAGAAUCUAUUGGGUCAACCGACCAUUUGUGUCAUCAUCAUGGCACGUCCAUCGCCUGGUCCAUGCCUCCAUGGCUGGCUCCCUGUGUCUCCAGACCAAGCAAGCAUCACUCGUCAUCGGUUUCGGUUUCGGCCGCCUCCGUCGGACCACCGGUGCACUCUUUCCGCCGGUGAAGCUCCAGCAUCUUUACCUCUGGGUGGCAUAGCCCUGGAUGAGAGCAGACAGAAACGCGUUACAUUUACGGAUGCGCCUUCUGGUAAAAGGUCGUGGCCCCGGGGCAGAUAAAAUCUUGAAUGUGAAAGAUCCACAUUUCAUCAAGCGCUUUUGCUCUGGUAAAGUCGGGUCAAAGAUAGAAAUUAAUGAAGGAAAUAACCUGAACAUUUUGGGAUGUCCCAGACGGCAAUCGAGGAUGCCGUGCACUCGGGCUCGCAGAGGGCAUGGGUGUUCUCGUGGUUGACGUUCAUAGCAAGCAUCCAGGAUCCAAUGGUAACGUCCUCGUUGUUGAACAUUCGGAAACUGGACAAAUAUAGGUAAGAAUAUGUUAAACAAACAGAUACAUGCUUCGGUUUGAGGUUGGACAAUGAUGCAAAGCAACCGGCUCACAAUAUAUUUAAAAUAAUUUAGGUUAAAAACUGUCAAUUUGCGACUGUAGCCUACUACAGGCAUAAUAACAUUACAAUUGUGACUCUUUACUGUAGCUCUAUAACCAGUCCAGCCACAGGAAAGGAAAGUUCGCCUAACCACAUCAUUUACUAAUAGCUGAAAGAGACAUGACCACAAGCCCUAUCCAUGUCAGGUAUAACUUUCACGCUUUGGCAUAUGCUUUCAACAUGAGGGAAUCUGGCCAUAACUAACAUAUCACAAAAUAUUGCAGCCUGUAUAAGGAAUGUUCCCUGUCAAGACUUGUUUUCAAAUUGACACUAGGGACUGAAAAAAUGUUUUAAGCUCGUUGCCAAGCAGUCAAUGACAAACUGACACCAGGGGAGUGAAAAAAUGUUUUAAGCUCGUUGCCAAGCAGUAGGGCAUUUUGCUGGCACUUCAUGACUAUAGCAUAUUAGCAUGACUACUUGAUAGUUGGUGCUAGGGGCGAAUUGCACCUCACCAUCGCAAAGAUAACACAAGUUGUAAAGUGUCAUUCAUGUGUCACUAACAUGUGGCCCCAGGGCACUUUUUAGGUAUACAUCUUUCUGUGGUACUAAGUUAAAAAAAAGUUUGGUACCAGUUGGCUUGCUGAGACCCAAAAAUAAUAUUUACUGGUACAGCUAAACAUGCUUAUGUGCAAGAUGGCGAGUUUUAGAAUAUUUACCUGUUGUUUCUCAGAGCAACCAAGCUUGCCACCACAUCAGCUGAUAAAGCAUAAAUAGGCCCAUAUGCAUGAAGGAAGUAUUCUGAUCCAAGUAGGAAGGACUGUGGCUCAUACCUGUGUUCAUCAAAAGAGCACAAUCAAGAACAAUAAGUAGGCAGCGACGAGUGCUACACAGUAUAAUUGCCCCGGUAGAGUGUUCGCAAAUACAAAAAAAAAAUGGUAUGAAUUGCGCUCUAGGUCCCUGAACCUAUACACUGUAUGUUUUAUAUACCCCUAAACUUGCAGUUCCAUUUAGAGACCCCCCCCACCCCACCCCACCACCACCACCACCACACACACACUCACCAACCGGAUCCAGUUAUUAAAUGAAAACACAUCGAUCACACGCAGGUUCAAACAGUAACAAAUCCGGGAACAUACAAGCCCUGUUGUGAAUAUAGGCAUGACCGUAACUACACAUUUUGCAUCCAAGUUUGUUCCUGUUAUUCCAAACCCUGAACAAAGGGAUUCACUAAAUACACAAUUUGCAUCCUCGUUUGUUUUGUUAUUCUAAACACUGAACAAAGGGGUUUACCAAGUACUGGUAUGUGGUAUCGUGUUUGAUAUCUUAAUAUACCAAUUACCAAACAUAUACAGCCUUAAGUUUAGUACUACUGCCACCUUUUGCAUGUUUUUUUAAGUUAAUUUUGAUGUGUUAGUAGUACAGAGAACUGUUAACUUCAGGGAUCACAAAUAAAUUGCAAGAUCGGGAAUCUAACUGAUAGAACCAUUAAUAUUUCGUGAAAUAACAGAUUGAGUUACAUCAAGUGUUGAUCCAAGUGAUACAAAUAGAAGUUCAGAGAUAGGAUCAUAUCAAAUUGCAAGGCUACCAACCUAACUAACACAAAUAUGCAGGUUUAGGAACCAAUGGCCAAAUUCACUCAAAUAAAUGUUUCACCUAGGUAGCUAAUAUUGGUUGAGCUUACAUCAAGUCAUCAAAUAAGUUAGUUUCACUCCUUAACUACAGAUAUGAGUGACAGAAGACAAAUAUCCUAGUUUUGGAUGCACGAAAAGUUAUCUUUGCCCUGUCCAUUAACCUUUCGCACAUACUUGCAAAAUUCACUAUCGUGAAUGAUAAGACUCAUAGUCAGCAUAAAUAGUACUUCCUCCGUACCUAAAUACUCCCUCCGUCCCAAAAUUCUUGUCUUAGAUUUGUCUAGAUAUGAAUGUAUCUAGUCAUGUUUUAGUAUUUAGAAACAUCCAUUUCUAGAUAAACCUAAGACAAGAAUUUUGGGACGGAGGGAGUAUAAGUCUUUUAAGAGAUUUCAUUAAGGGUCUACAUACGGAACAAAAUGAAUGAAUCUACACACUAAAGUAUGUCUAUAUACAUCCUUAUGUAGUUCACUAGUGGAACCUCUAAGAAGACUUAUAUUUAGAAACGGGGGGAGUAUAUUCAAUUAUCCAAAGAUAACCAACUUUCUCCAGGUCAUAUGUCGAUGCUAAGCAGCACAUAGCAUAUUCACCGAGGAAAACAAACUCCUUGAUAUUCCUAAACUAAUCGAGAGGAGAUCAUUAUCAAACAUCCAAACUUUGUCCAACAUCACUUAGGCCUCCUACAACUGAUUAGGCAAUAAGGUUUGUACACACAGAUGGUGAGCUUUGUUUUCCGAAAUUAAUGCAUGUCAAAGUAAGCUGAAGCUUAACACUUGAAGAAACAUUAGCAUUCACGUGCAUCCAUAGUGUGUUUUUUUUUAUACAAAAUUACCAUUUUUAACUUUUUACUGGUCACUUACACUGAAAUAUUAUCUUAUAAGUUGAUCCAGACAUUUAAAAAUAUAUCAGCAAUCAAAGUUAGAAAUAUUUGACAAGAAAAAAUACAGAACAGACAACUGGAGUACAUUAUUAUCGGAGAGAGCAGAACUUGACAAAAGGCAUAGCCACUAAAGGUAGCGAGCAUGAUUUUUUUUUAGCCAAACCAACCCUGACCAGAUUUUGUAUCCAGAAGCCUUAACCACUUAAAAACAGUCCAUUACCUCAUUCCAUGGUAACCAUUGCAUACCCUUCCAAUACUCGAGCACAAUUGUUGGCUCUAAACGACAUAUAUCUCAGGAAGCUCAGAAAGUAAUUAUGAAAAAACAUGCGUAUAUGGAAGUACUAGACCCAAUCCAAAAGAGUUAUCAUCGCUGAACAUAGAAAAACAAAUUUAGGCCCUUACAGCAAAUGUUGCCUACUAGACCAAUCCAUGUGAGCCCCACUACUUCCUUAUAUCCUAUGAUAUGAAAGCACUAGACCCAAUCCAAAACAGUUAUCAGCGCUGAACAUAGAAAAAAAAAUAGGCCGUUAUGGUAAAUGUUGCCCACUACUUCCAUAUAUCCUAUGUGAGCUCCACUACUUCCAUAUAUCCUAUGAUGUAAAGCAGGAAGUGGCGUACAAUCAAUGCAGAGACACCAUUACAGGUGAAACAAGGAUCACUGACGGCACCACUCCUUGCCCACCAGACAAUGCCAAUCAUUUUGAUUUCAGACAACUAUAAUGAAUCUUAACACAAAUACUUCUGAGACCAUAAGACUACAGUUUUGAUGCAAUACUUAUGCUGUAGAAUGAAAAUUCACUUCUCGGUCAGGUUUUGCAGUAUUAGCUACUUUCCAUAUAUUUAGCAUGUAACUGUAUGUAUUGCUUCUUAGAGUUAAACAUCCCUUACAAGGAAAAGUGUUGGGUAAAAAAUGAAAAGAAGAAACUAACCAUUUCAAUUUGGGAUCAGUGAAAACAGGCCCCUUCUUCAUGCAUCCAAUGUAUGUUUGUGGGUGUGGACGUUCCUUCGCCAAAAGCAAGGAGAGUCUAUCUGCAGAUUAGAAAUUGAUGAUGGAAGUGCCAACCUUUCAAAAAGAAAAAAAUGUGCAUGUUGGUCAAAGCUACUAAGAGCAUAUAUCUUGAAUAUCGUUAGUUUCUUGCUCACCUGGUCUCAAGUAAAUGUCAUCGUCAGCUUUAACAUAGAAAUCAGAAUCAAAUAACGCAUAGGCAGCCUUAAAGAAUGCUAACCUAAAACAUAAGAUCAAAUCAGUUUCCAUAUGAAGAGAUAACGCAAUGAUAUGAUACUAGUUAAACUGUUUACGUUUUGUAUGGAAGCCUGCUAUACUCCUCCUCGAGAUCUAAAAGCACAAAAUCAUCAUAUUCUUCAACCUCUCUUUCAAGAGCUGUCAUCUUAGACUUGUCAUUGCUUUUGCCGAUCACAAAUCUGAAUGCCAGACCAGUAGCUUCCUCCAACCUGCAUUAAAGUGAACACAAUGAGAACUGCAAGAGCACUUAAGAAGCAGCAUCACUGGAUAGAAACCAAAAUAAAAACUAGUUGUGACAAUCAUCAAGCAACAUAACUGGGGUCACAUUUAUCACUAGAACUCUAGAAGCAAAUGUAAAAAUUCCCUGUACAAAACAAUAGAUUGUCCAGCUUCAUGCAUUAUUCUUCAAACUCAAGAAAGAAAAUAAUUAAUCACUAUUCAUCAGUGCUAAUGAGACAGAGUCCAGCAAUUCAAAAGGAUCAAUACCGUUCUUCUAGAGUAGUAGCAUGAUUCCACUAAAAUCAUGAGUAUAUCGCAAACUCGCAGGAGUUAUGUCUAGAGAACCACCAACGCAGAAGAAUUGGCAAGUCUGAUGCCACAGCAGAUAACUCAUAAUCAAACUCAAGGAGCAAAUAUAGAAACAAAUGAAUCCAAUAUCCAUAUGAUCGAUAAGGCGAACUUUCCAUAUGAAUGGAUGAAUGAAUUAGCCAGCUCUUGAUCAUAAAAAUUAAUUGACCAGCAAUGACUUAUGUUAGCGAACGAGAACUAUAAUAGGCACGGGAUGAUUCGAAUACACCGCAGUCAAAAACAAAAUCUAGAUCACAGAAAUGGACGAACGGAAUGCUAGGUAACCAACCAGAUCAACAGUCGAGCGCUAAAGCUAGAUCUCGAGCAACACAGGCGAACAUGAACUAGGAAGCUGCGGUACCAGCGACAACUAACCGAAGGAGGCCCUGCCGAUCGGAGGGGAGCCACGUCCGCCUGAGCGCGCGGCGGCGGCCGACGGAGCCGAACCCGGUGAAGAUCCCGACGAAGGCCAUGACCUUGUGCCUGCCGCGCGAUCCGGUGGCGUGGCCCGCCGGGAACUCGGUAGCGCCGCCCGCGGCAUCCCCGGGGCGCCGGUCCCAGGCGACGGAGACGGAGAGCGGGUGGGAGGAGUCCGGGCAGCGGCCGCGCGGGGCCUCGGCUGGCCCCCGGGAGAGGGAGACGGCAGCGGCGAGGAACCCGGUGAGGCCGAAGAGGAGGCAGGCCGCGGAGACGGCCGGCGAGGAGAGGAGGCGGCGGAGCGAGGAGCGUCGCGAGGCUGCGGCCGCCGAGGAGGAGAACACCUUGGGCGAGCUGGGCAUGGCUGCGACCGCGCUGCCCUGCCGCGAGUGUGGCGGGCGGGGGCCGGGGCUGCGGCCGGUUGGUGGGGCAGCGGCGGCGUCAGAUCGGAGAAGGGAGAGUGGUGGCGGAGCGGAAAAUGGGUGCGCGACAGUGUGACGGCAGAUCGCCCGUUUUGCAUUGGUUUUUUUUUUUAAUGGUUGCUUUGGGUUGUUGGUGUGGUGUGACUGGAAAUGGUGUGUGUGCUGGGCUGGGCUGGGCUUGGUGCCUUGGUCUAGAACUCUAAUUUUUUUGGAAGCAAUCUCUUUACUAUUAAAGGGGAUGUGCCGUUGUCGUGAUGGUUCAACUGGUUUGAUCUCCCACCCUCCUAUUGAUACCUUCCCCACCCACAUCCUUUCAUCGAUUUUUUUUAUCCCUCCGAAAACCAGUGGCGAGUAAACCAGCGAACCGGGCGGACCAGAGAUAAGAAACCACCUCCUUCGUUCGUGACCAACUCCUACGAUCGCCAACAAAAAAAGAACUGCCCGAAACAAAGCAAGCCCACGCACGAACACAGGGAUCGUUCCCCACCCACGACUCCAUCUGUACGCCACCAAAAUCAACCGGCGAUCUCUUUAGCGCUGCAUCGUUCGCGUCGCGCUUCUUCCUCUGUCCAUCGACGAUCCGCCCCCCACCGCUACAUCGCCCCCUCAAGCCAGAUCCGCCGCUCCUGGCCCCUAGCACUCAGCCGCGACCCCCCUCCCCUGUGCUUAGGGUUUGUGCCAGACAUCUUCUCGAACACCAGCGCGACUCCAGCGACCUUGGUCGGUCCUUUCUAUCGCUUACAACGGCAUCUCGCACCUCCAAGUUCCCGGCGGCGACUGUGUGGACCAUGACGGCGGCUACGAAUCUGAGCUAAACACCACCUCGCACUGCGUUCGCGAACCGGUGGAUGCCUAGAUCCAUCAUGACCACACGUUGCUUCGGCCGUCAUGAAGGGCCUCAAGGAGGUUCUAGAGGUCUGCCCUCCUCUCUCGCCAUCUCUUACAAUUUUGUGUUAUUCUAUGUCGAUUCAGUUACAGUAGGUUAUACCUGGUUGAUGAACAAAUGAAUGCAUAAUAAGUGCUUAAUUCAGUUAGAGAGAAAGCUAAACUAAAUUGCAAUUUAGAUGUAUUCUCAUUGUAAGGUCAACAUUCAAAUACAUACAUACUUGCCUGUAGUUCCUAAUUUCUCCACGCACAAACAUUAUUGGGUGUACCAUUGACCGAAGCAAUCCAUCACAUUAAACUUUUGAACCUAUAAUUUGUGACGUAUUUUUAUGGGAUUGGUUAGAACUCAUCUAGCCGAGACAUAACUAUGGUCUCAUUCACCUUGUAUUUUUAUAAGGAGCAUGACGUCAAUCCCUCUCGUGGCUACCAGUGGAGAGGGUCAGCUGUCAUGUGUUCCUGUUGGUGGUUUGAAUGGCGCCGCCAACACCGCCUGAUGCUGGGUCAACAGAUGUCGCCCCCCGUGCCUGUUGCCGCCCCAUGCUGGAUUACCUCUACCAACGAAGCCACCCUCAAACUAGAGAAGUCAAAGUUGAUCGGCCGCCCAUGCCAUGGUGCUCACCGAGGUUCCAGACCGCAACAAGGCCGGCUUGUUCUGAGAGACAUGCCUCAUGAACACCUAUGAAUGCACGAUCCUCGAUCUUCCGCCACCAGAAUUCUGGUACGUUUCAUUGCAUGAUAUAUCAUUGUGGUUAUUUUUUUUAGAUUAGCUUAACCCAUCGAUUGGCCAUGCCCUGCUUUAUGGUAAUCUCUCGAUGUUUUAAACUAUCAUUAUUAAAGGAGGAUCUGUUGUCGUGAUGGUUCAACCUAUUUAUCCCCUUCAGUUCCCACGUAUGAACGCUCUCACACCAUCGCACUAGCCAGAAAAAAAAUCAACCCCACCUCUAACGCGAGAACCAACCCAAGUCAGAUGGGAAAAAACAAAGACGCUAUUAUGAACAAACUGCAGGCACGCACUAUCACGCCAUGCCCCCACGAUCCCUCCCAACUACUCCUCACAAUCGCAGCAAUCCCCUUCCUCUCGUUGUUUCCUCUGCCCCAAUCACUCUCCUCGAGACGAGAUCUCUACAAUCCCCCUCCUCCAGCUGCCUCCCCUUCUCGAAUCACUCUCCUCGGAGGGCCAAGCGAGGAGCUGAAGUAUACAAGACCGUACGGGUGGAGUAGAUGGCUGGCCAGCUCUGUCUAAUGCGGCCUGCCUCCUUGAGGGCCUCACUGUUGACGACUACGCAGUGUAGAUGGGGACCCGGGAGGGGUUGGAGGAUGGGUGAAGUUGCCGUUGUAGUUGACCCGUGGCACCGUCGGUGAGAUACGACCCACUGCUGGAGGGAAGGAAGGAGCCAAGGACGCCCAGCGCUGCCGCGAAUCCCAUCUUGAUAUUCGUCAACACUGGCCAAUUCUGGCCUGAAGCUUUCGCUGUCAGGUACAUCCACCUGCAAUUUCCAGAAUCUGCUUUGCUCUUGUGCGCUUGAAUUCUUAUGGGCAGUUGCAAAUUGUAACGAACUGAAUCAGAUGUUGUUUCUUAUGAACUUAACCGAAUUUCAUUUUAGCUUUAAUUUUGAAUGGUGUGCUCAUCAAUUGAAGAGUUCUAUGAAGAGGAGGACAGCAAUGACGAGGACGUCGAGCUGGUGGAACUACCUGGCUGUAGGGACACGCAUCAGCUUUUUUGGUCAGUCAACUCAAAGGUUCGCGUAAUGUCUUUAGCUUAUGUAUAUUAGUAUGUAGCCUGUGGAACAAGGUAUGCUUAAUUUGUGAGAAAUUUGAAGCUAAGUUAGGUUCAUAUGUUUUUCGAAUAACAGAAUAUAUAGCUUUCCAUCUCAGUUUCAGCAAUUCAAGUUUUGGCUGACCUUUUUGCAAGCAUAGCAGGCUGUUCGAAUUUGGCCAGUAGUGAGGAGGGAAACUCCAUAUCCAUCCACUCGUUGAAACAUCAUACUGCUAAGAUUAAUAUUGAACAUUAAGGUUGAUCUAACUUUUGCUAAGCAAACCAUCAUGCUUGAGGUUGAGGUUAUUUUCCUAUCUUUAGAAGUAUGAUUUAAGGAUAGUGGGUACUCUUGUUACAAGCAUAUUCAUCAUUCUAUUCUAUGGUAUUUUCUCUGUGUCGUUUUAGAUUGGAGAACAUUCAGAGAAAUGAUAGUUGUAUUGGAUUGGAGAACAUUCAGAGAAAUGAUAGUUGUAUUAAAUUGGAGAACAUUCAGAGAAUGAUAAUCUUGGCAAGCGUUUGCUUUUUCUGUUCUAAUUUACUACUCAACGCGAUAAAUAAUAAAUAAAUAAAUAUGAGACAGAAGUUCUACCGUAACAUAUUUUGUGAUGGUACUAGCUAUCCUUGAAACAAUAUUCACACAAAAGACACAUUCCUUCAAGUUUUCUUGCUCAUUCUACUAUUGGUUGUUGACAUGUUACAGUUGACUGAUGUUCCGUUGUUACAUGUCAAUAUGCCCCUAUAUUUGCACCAUUGUUAGUAAAAUUUAUUUCUAGACUUUAUGUCAUUUGGGCCUCAUUUUAUAUUUUGACCAAAUCAUAUUUUGAACUCAAUUUAUUUUAUUUUAAAAUUUCCGGUCAAAUCUAUUAAUGUGCAUGAUGCCACUUAGAAUUAUUUUGUAAUUACUGCUACGAAUAAAGAUUGGUUCUUCUAUGAUAUUUUAACAUGUUCUUGCCUCUCAUAGGUCCACUCACACACAGACUACACUCAAUAGUUUCCAUGCGUGCACUUGCAUAUAUGUGUAUAUGCAAUGCUAAUUCUUUUAUCAGGUUGGCAAAGCAUGAGGAUAUACAUCUGCCUUUCCCCACCUAGAUGGUCUCUUCCUUGAAAUAAAUGUAUGUUGUUUUGUUGGCCGGCCGACAAUAAUUUUAAUUAGUUGAUCGCUCACUCAGAACUCAAAUAUCUUACAGUAUUGUGCAUUAGCAUCAUAUGAAAACUGAACUUCAAGUUUGCACUGGCUAAUUGGCAAUCCCUUGUAGGAUAAACCACACCACCCUUUGGACUGCCCGCCGUUGAGUUGGACCGGACUGGACAAACCAGUCGAACGGCCUGGAUUUCGUUGACCAGACCAGCGGCGCUCUGGCCCGGGCGACUCGCUGCCGUGUGCCGUGAACGACCAGCACAGGGCACGAGCGGGAGGGAGGAAUGGAAGAUCACAAGGAUGGCAAUGGCGAGGUCAGCAAGGCUUGUGGAGGACGGGAGCAUGGUCAUGGAGCUCGGCAGCGGCUGCCAAAGUAAUGACGUAUGGCGAUGUUGGGAGCACGCUGGAGGAAGUGCUGCUCAUCACGGACAUGUCCUGCAGCUUCUGGAGCACCGAAGGGAGCUUGAUGGAGCAAGGAGAGAUGUAGGGGCGUGGUGGCGGCGAUGAGCUUGGUGAAUUUUCCUCAGGUUUAGCAUUUGAUCAAAUGUCAUAUUUUAAAUUAAAUCAUGUGUUGCGAUUGUAUUCUUCAUGAUUUUAAAUUAAGCAAUCUCUUAAUAUUGAAAAUAACAAAACAAUUUUAAGAUAGUUCUUAAUUUGGUUUAGGUUGCAUUUUAGAAGAAAAACAAUUCUAAGAUUUUUGACGUACGUGCACGUGUGCUACACCAUAUAAUAGGCAACCUGCAUUGCACAUGCUCAAUUAGGCCAAUAUAUUUUAUAGGACUAAUAUGCCAGUCGUUAAGGUGGUUUAUAGGGCAAGUAAGUGAUGUAAAAUGUGACUCUGAUGUUGUACUAAUGUAUAGUACCAUGAGUCGCUUCUACUAGGAUUCAUUAACGGGUAUACAAAAAAGGAAGGUUUUGGUUCUACAAGAGAAACAUUUUCUUGUCGCGUGUGCACUCGAUUAUUUGUAUAAGGCAGUUCUAAAUGUUAGGGGUUAAAAUUAAUUUCUAUAUAAUAUGGUUAUUUAUUUAUUUCAGAUUAAUGUCAUCGUAGUUUAAAAAUCAGAAGUGUGCACAAAGGAUUUGGAAAAGUAAACGAAAGGUAUAUUCCUCAUUAGUUGUCGAAUUAUUACAAGAACGAUGGAUGAAUCGAUUCUUUUCUUCUAUGUAAUUCUGUAGUUAGUCCUCCUAGAUUAUUACAAGAGUGUUUUCACUACCCCGUGAGACAACUAAUUAUCAAUGAUAUUUCUAUGAGAUUGUAGCUGUGAAAAUUUCAUGCACAUCUUCCUUUGGUACAUGUCAUAUUGUUUAAUUUGCGUCUAUAACUUCUCAUGAGUGAUCAACUUAACUUUCUUCCUGACCUUUCAUAUUUAUUUGUGUCGACUUUUUGUAAUGCUUUCUUGGGUCACCACUGUAGUUGUUUAACAUGGGCUCUUGACCAUGCAUUUAGAAUUCAGAACAUAGUUGAUUUAUUUGUUUUAGUCUUAUUCUUAGAAAAGAAGGGAUCUCAUGUGCUAUGCGGUGUCGGAUUGACAAGAACGAGAGGAAAAAUAAAUUAUGGAACUGGGUAGGUUACUACACUGAUGAUCUAAAGAAAGGCUCAUCGAUGGUUUAAUUUUGUAUACAUGAAUGUCUAAAUUGUUCUUAUGCUGAAUAAAAAUAUUUUUAGUGCAAUAAUAUAAAGAACCGGUGCUUAUAUCAUAACUUUAAAAUACCAGAGAUGAUUUUCCUAUGUGCAUAGGCUGCUCAUGAGUUUGUAGAAAGUAUCAUAAUGUUUAGACCUGAGCCUCUCUGAAAAGACUUGUUGUAAUAAAAUGCUUUAAUAGUAGAGAUAUACGCCAUAUAUGAAGAGAAGACAAAGAAACGAGGCAUGGUUUUAUAUACAUUCGCAUGAUUAAGAAUUUAAUAACUAGAAAAGGUCAAGCACUAUCCUCAAUUUCAGUUUUCGUGGGGCAUGUAUAUUUCUGUUUUCUUUUGUUGGAAAUGCAUGUUCUUGUUAUUUUGUAAGAAAUAAAGCCUGAAGAUCAUAAUAACUCAGAUACAUAUACUGAGCUGCUUGUUAGCUAUUACCUUGUUUAUAAACUUGGUGGAGAACCUAUGUAAACAAUAUCAUCUUAAAAACGUAUUGAUAACAUUUGUUGCGAACAGGUUUAUGUUCUAAAAAGAACGGACCCAACUAACCAUUGAUAAGAUUUAUCGGGAUGCUUGGAUUUGCAGGUUGCUUUAAACUAUGAUAAGUAGUAAAAUGGAGCCGUCUUGGAAGAAAAGGUUUAACUAGAGAAGUUAAAACCUGUUAUUCCACACAAUGGCACUCGGUGGGGAGGAAGGGACAUGGAAGGAUCUGUUGCGGUGUGUAGACUGCAUGAAGAAUUGUUGGGAUCCUGUGUUUGACACAACACAUUCACUGAGCGGAUAUAACAUAAUUUCGUCAAAUAUGUAUAUGUCUUUGUUGUUCCAUACCAAUGGACCUACAGUAGUGUUCAUACACCUACUCACAUACAAUGACCAUGAAUGUGAAGCCAAUACCUCUCAAGCUGUACAAGAUUUUGUCAAGAGAAUAAAACUAUUUUUUCAUGUAGACCCAUGAUCUUAACUAUGUUCACCUUGAGUUUGAGUAUACUUUGUUUUCUAUGAGUGAAUAAGCACUAUUUUGUUGUAACACAAUCAUAAGCAGCAUGUUUUAAUCAAUGUCUUCAUGUUCAAAUUUGUUGUUCCGUGGCAACGUACGGGCAUUCAACUAGUUUAUUAUAAAGACUUAAACCAAAUCACUAGUGGGAAACCUUUUGGAAGGCUUUGUGGAAAAUUCAUGUUCAACAUAUUAUCAGGAUCUUCUGAUGGAGGGUGUUGAAAGGUUUUCUCCGGGGAGUUAAUCAGAAGCAUGUUGUCCUUUUAUGGACAUAGCAAGGAGACACUUUUUCAUGCGCUUGUAAACACGGGCGGAGCCAGCCCAAGUGGCUGGGGACAUUAAUAUUUGGCUAACUGAGGACCCAACUAGUAAAACAUUAGAUUUCAUAGUAAUAAAAUAGGAAUUGACUGGGUGCCGGGGUCCCCACUCAGCCCAACGUGGGUCCGCCCGAGCUUGUAAAAUGUGAUCAUGCGAUGUUGGAUGAGGCAAGGAGUUUCUUUGGCGUAAACCUUCCUCGGCUGCACCCAUUAACUUGGGACAAAUAUAUGCUAAUAGAUCCCCAUGUCAAUCGAUGGAGAUGUUUGCCGCCAUUGCAAUUUUCGUGAUGUGGAAAAUCGAAAAUAGUCUAAACAAAUACGCUCACAAAGAGAUGGUAUAUCAAUUGAAGCGUUUGGUGGAGGUGAUGGAGGAUCUCAUAAGAGCGUUGGACAUCAUGUCGAGUUUCCAUGUUAUGUCACCAGCAAGAGUUAUAUGUAAAUCAAAACGUUCAAAUUCUACUAUAUGUUGCUACAUUUUAGCUUUCUUCAUUAUUGUGUGCCAGCAUAAGCACCUACGUCUAAUAUCACUAGAUUGCCUUUUGCACAAGAUCUCAUUGAAAUCAUGGAUGCAAACCCAAGGGAGAUAGCCAAGAGAGAUGUUCUCCAUGCGAGAAAAUUUCACAGUGUCCCAUUUUUUGUAUGUCCGGCUCCGGGGUUGCUUUAGCAUACAAACAAGAAAGUUGCCAUUGAACUUUGCCCAGUUCCAAGAUAAGUGAGUCAAUGUGCUGGUAUGAAUAGCUAUUUAUUUCAAGACAAAUGGGGUUAUUCCAAAACACACACGUUCCACUACUGUGAUCAUUACUUCCAAAUGCAAAACUACAAUUAAAACCUACCUCCACGUGGCUCUUCAAAAACUGAGUUUCAACUAUAUAAAUGACCAUCAACACAUAUGCCUUCGCGAGAUCAUGAAGCUCAUGAACUGUCAAGGAAUCGCCAAUUCUGUGGCAGUUUCAGCAUAGGGGUUCUCAUUGAUCCUGGCAGCACCCCUCUAGGGAGCCUGUUUUAACUGAUCUACGUGUUCUGUUCUUGGCACCUAUCAUGGAUCUCUUUGUAGCUUGCUUUAGAGGGAGCUUGGGGGAUAAAUAUCGCACCCGACAACGAAACGACCCCACACAUUAGACUAUAUUUCUAGCCUACUAACACAUCAAUUGCAGUUGUGUUCACAUCGUUUGCAUCAGUCAUUGCAGUUUCGAAGUCAUCUUUGUCAUCAACAACCCUCUUUAAGUUUUUUAUCAUCGCCAUCCAUAUCAUCAUCCGAGGGCUCCUACUCCUCUACAAGAUUCUUGUGAUAAAAUGAAUCAAUAUCACCAGGCCGGCCUGAACGACCACCCCGUCUCCCAGAACCACCACGAUCCCGACCACUAGAGGGCCGGCCAGUCUUCAUGCUCCAACUCGCGCGAAGAUUCUUAAAAACAAUCGUCGAGGCGGGAUAUAAGCCAUCACCAUGCUCUUUGUAGACAUGGCCAAAUAUGCAACAGACCAUACACCUAUCCAGUAGCAUCUCGUGCUUUACAACGACCAACUCGCUGCGGUGAGCGUAGAAUAGGAAUUUUGCGCCGAGUGUGUGUUGAGGAAUCAGGGCAGAACAACACAAAUAAUGUGGGCCUUUGCAGGAGGCUGCGCUCAGGAGUGUGGGCUGGGCCCUCAAGCCCACUAUGCGAGCACGGCGACGGCGUCACCCACCUUGAAAUACCCCGCCUUGGCGCCCGACCGUAACCGUCCCAACCAACCUCUUCUCCCCGUCGCCGGAGCACCAAGAUUCCAAGAACCCCACCUCUCCUUCCCCGCUCGGUUUCUCCCUCCACCGCGCACCUCUACUCUCCGGCGUAUCCGGCGACCGAUGGAGCAGUUCCAGACGGCCACCACGUGCGGCUGCGGAGCCGCCAGACCGGCACGUACCUGCACGCCGACGACGACGGGCGUCGCGUCUCCCUCAGCCGGCGGCGCGCGUCGAUGAACGAGGCUUGGGCGGUGCACUUGUUCCAGCCCCCUCAGGCGCAGGUGCGGUACCUACUCCUCCACAGCGCCGCCUACGGUCGCUACCUCGCCUCCACGGACGCGCCGGCGCCGCGCACUUGUUCCAGCCCCCUCAGGCGCAGGUGCGGUACCUACUCCUCCACAGCGCCGCCUACGGUCGCUACCUCGCCUCCACGGACGCGCCGGCGCCGCGAGGCCACAGCGGGCUCCGCGUCGAGCAGUGCGACUACGAGCCGUGGGAGGAGGAGGCCAUCAGGUGGCAGGCCGUAGGGGUCGACUCCGGGAACGACGUCCUGCUCCGCAACGUCGCCGGCCGCCUCCGCGCCAACGGGAGGUACCUCAGCGUCGACGACUUCAACAGCACCGGCACGAUGAUGCACUGGGUCGUGGAGCGCAUCCCCGCCAGGAACGACGCGCCUCGUCUUGCAGCUCCGACUGGGGUGAGUCCGCCAUGCCCGCUGCUGCUUCAUACUUCUCGAACUGCUUUCAGCGGAACUAUCGAUUGGGCGAAUUGGCUUCUUGGAUGCCGUUAAUUUGCGUCAGAAUUCAACCGCGGGGAUUGCAUAUUGCGUCAAUUUCAUUCUCCUGGGAGCAAUUCUUGCCAAAUUUGCGCCAUGCCCGCUUCUUGAUUCUUCCCGAAUUUGGUUCUUGGGGAUUCAGUUGGGGAUUUGUGUUUCCGAUCAAAGAAUUCAGAACAGUACCCUGCUUCGCAUUUGAUGGUUCUUUGGAACUGCAGCUCCGCCUUCCCAGAAGCCUCGACUUCGUGUUGCCGUGGAGGGUGAUACAGUACGAGCAGGAGGGAGCCGAGGAGUCCAAUGUCGGCUUCGCCUGGGAAUCACUCGUAUUCAGGGGCAGGUCCGCAUACCACUUGAGGAAGGAGCUGGCCAGUCGGCUGGGUGUCGCCAUGGACGUCUCCAACCUCGUCAUGUGCGUCCGAGCAGGUAUGCACGGGCGGCUUACCCCACUGGUCGUCGACUUGCCCCACAGCCGCGAGACCCUCGACAUCAUCGUCGUCAUGGCCGGGACGCCAGGUGAGACGCGCCAUUGCCGCAUUAAUUUACAUGAUCAGCUUGUGUUAUGAAACUGUCUGAAGAACACUUUACUGAAACUGUUGUAUUCUGCAUAAUCUUGUGGUCCAUACCUCAUUUGCUAGUGGUCCAUACCUCAUUUGCUGCAUUGACAUGAUCAGCUUGUGCUGGAAAACUGUCUGAAGAACAGUUUUACUGAAACUGUUGUACUGUAUUUUGCAACCUGCUGCUAAUCUUCAGUUAAAAACUGGGAGUUGUCUAGACUCUUGUAGUAUUAGACAUAAGGAGAAGAGUUGAAUGGAAAUAGUUGGUAUCUGCAUUAUGCCUGCUGUAAAGAUGCUAGAAGGUAAUCUGGAUCCAGAUUGUUUGGGGAUAAAAUCAUAACAUAUUCACACUAAACCCUGACACAGAAAUUAUUUCAUAGUACUGUCCUUGAUACAAAUAAUUCAGUUUUCCUAGUUGCUAACUUCCUAGUUCCUAUCCUACUGGCCCAUACUAUUUUCUGCGUUGACAUGAUCAGCUUGUGCAAUGAUACUAUUUUACUGAAAAUGUUGUAUUCUGCAACUGCUGCUAAUCUGCUUCAGUUAGAACUUGGGAGUUGUCUGCACACUCUUGUAGUAUUAGACAUUUGGAGUAUUUGCAUUAUGCCUUCUGUAAAGGUGCUAGAAGGUAAUCUGAAUCAAGUUUGUUUGGGGAUAAAAUCAUAACAUAUAUUCACACUAAACCGUGACACAAAAAUUAUUGGUUUCAUAGUACUGUCCUUGAUACAAAUAAUUCACUUUUCCCAUUUGGCACCAUUAAUUUGUCACUUGUAGAAACUUUGGAACUCUGAUAUCCAACUCAGUAAAGUUAUUUGUACUGUAAAUUCUGUUCGAUUUAGCAUACUAUAAAUUGUUUGAACAACAUGUGAACUAGAUUCAGGUUAUAUCCUACAGUAUUUCAUGAAAGCUUUCUUUCAGGUUUUUGCACAUUAUAUUGUAUUUUUCAGGCUUUUGUGCAUAAGCUGUCUUCUUCGUUAAUUCUGCAACACAUUGAUAUUUAAGUUAUUGGUCUUCUCAAACUGUUGCACUACCUGUGACUUGAUGCCUAAGUUGCUCACUUUCUGUUCUUAUUCAGCUCACGCAGAGCUGCGGUACCCGGAUGUCGGUGCAGAUUAGAGAAAGAUAAGAGCAGGGCUCCUAACAAUCCACCUCUUCAGAAGUGACGCUGCCUCGGACACGAUGACAUGAAAAUUCAGAACUGCAUUUUGCAUUCAGAUAUAGGUUUAGGAAGCGCCUCUUGUGUCUGUUAGCAUAGAUAAACUUGAUUCAGUCCCAAGACAGGAGGAACCUGUCUAUUUUACCUUUGUGGCUCUAAAAUUUCAGAAUUUGUGUGAAGAAAUUAUACAUUGGCAUUGGUCUGUAGUGAUUUCGAACUUAUUCUGGCUGCUACUUCAGGGUUGACUCUGUAAUUUCUCUUAUAUGUCAAUUUGAGAACCUCUGUGAGCAGUUAUGCAAUAACAUUGGUUUGUAGUGGUUGUGUUCUUAACUUGUUAUACCUGCUGGUACUUCAGCGUUGUCGGGUGCAUUUCUCUUAGAUGUCAGCGCUGCUGUUUGAAGUUUCAGUCAUUCAGCAGAAAAUGAAUUUUGCAAGAUAUGUACAGGUCGAUAUUAUUUGCUGCAUUCAAAUGAUCUUUUGGGAUUUAUUUUAAUGGAGCAUUGAUAAGCUUGUGCUGGAAGAUAUAUAGUGAUAAUCUUCAGUUAGGAGUUUACUGAAACUGUUGUAUUCUGCAACUGCUGCUAAUCUUUAGUUAGGAGUUUACUGAAACUGUUGUAUUCUGCAACUGCUGCUAAUCUUCAGUUAGGAAUUUACUGAAACUGUUGUAUUCUGCAACUGCUGCUAAUCUUCAGUUUGUAGUUGGGACUCGUCUGUAUUAAUAUAAGUAGAAGGAGUUGAAUAGAAAUGCUUGGUAUUUGCAUUAUGCGUGUUGUACAAAUGCUAGAAGGUGAUCUGAAGCUAAACUGACUAUUGGGGAGAAAAAUCAUUAUUCAAGUUACAUAUUAACAUUAAACCUUGAUACAGUUUUUUUUUUGUUUCAUACGACUGACACACAUAAUUAAAUUUUCCCAUUUGGAACUCAGAAACCCAACCCAGUCAAGUCUUAGAUUCUCGGCCUUAAACAGAGGACACAUAUUUCUAGUUGAUUUAGCAUACUGUACGUUUUUUGAACAGCAUGCAAACAAAUUCAGGUUAUAUUGAUGAAAUGAUGAUACCAAAUUCAGGUUGUUUUACAGGUUUUAUACAUAAGCUGUCUUCUUAGUCAAUUAUGCAAUGCAGUGAUAUUUAAGUUAUGGAUCCUCUCCACGAUUGCCUACGACAUGAUUCCUUACUCUUUCACUGUCUGGUCUAACAGUCCACGCCGAGUUGCAGUACCCGGAUGUCAAUGCAGAGUAGAGAAAUAUAAGAGCAAGAGUCCACAGUCGCCUGUUUGACCGUCGCCUGACAGUCCCCUGUUCAGAAGUGUCACCGCCUCUGACGCAAUGACAUGAGAAUUCAGAACUGUACAAUUUACAUUGAUAUUUAGGUUUAGGAAUCCUCAGAAGCUCUUGUGAUUCUGCUAGCUGAAAUUGAUUCAUUCUCCUGACAACAAGGUACUGAACUUGCAGAGCCUUUGUUCUCACACGGUGUCAAUAUUGUUUUCUAGAGACAACAGCUUAAGGUAAUCUUGUCUAUCGAAAACAUCUCAAACAACAAGCUUAAUCUAAUCUUGUCUGCACAGUGCGCAGCAACAGAGCUACAGGACUACGAUCAAACAUCUGAAACAACGCAAGAUGAGGUCGAUCCAUCAAUCGGACAACUCGAUCGAUCAGGCAUCGCUGUCGCGGUCGUCGCCGCUGCCGACUCGCCGCUGUCGUUUGAGGCAGUAGUCCCCGGCGUCGACGCCUUGGUUGGCCUUCUCGCACGCGUCGAUCCAGUCGUGAUAGAUGUCGACGGGCUCGGUGAGGUGGUGCGCCGCGGUGUGGUAGGCCUCCUGGCAGACGUAGCAGACGGCGCUGGCGACGUAGAGCUUGAGGUCGAUGGUGCAGGACACGCCGCCGGGGUGGUUGCAGAAGGGGCAGCAGAAGGUGGUGUCCAGCUUCGGCGCCGGCUUCUUCCGCGACGCCAUCUUGGAGCUCAUCGACUUGCGCUUCGCCAUCUCGAUCACCGCACCACCAGAUCGCGAUCGCAGGUAGGAGGUUCCGGCAGCAAAACCAAAACUUCGAGGCGUAGGUGCAGGAGAGAGAGAGAGGCGAUGUGUUGGUAGGGAAAGGAAAGUGUUGGGCGUGCUUAUAAAGGAUGUGCAUGCCCACUCCGACUCCGGCUCCUCUUCGGCGGCAGAAUGAGAAAUGCAUAUGCAUAUGCAUUGCGUGGUGUGGCGGUGCAACGAAGCCAUUACCGAGUCGGAGCCGGAUUCUGCUGGCGCCAAGUCGAAAUGGCCGCACGCGCCGUAUCGCGGGAGCUAGCUAGUCCGCAUGGGCUAUGCAUUUGAGUCCGGCCAGUGCUCUGCGUGGGCGCGCCGGCCGCGGGAUUCACCAACCGCGGUGCGUCUGCAGUGUUAGAUCUCCGUACAACAUUUUUACCCGAUGCAGCAAAAUUUUGAUGCGAUGAAGCAAUUUUCGUCAACGGUUCCAAAAAAAAAUUAUAGCAAAAAACCAUCUACGUGAUCGUAGCAAAAAAACGAAGCUCAUGGUGCGUGGUAGCAAAAAUCAAACGCCGGUUGUAGUAAAAAUCUACGUGUAUGCAACUUUUUUAAUGAACGGUUGCAGCAAAACAUGAUGCCGGUUAUAGCAAAAAUUAACACGGUUGUAGCGAAAGUCAAAACGCCGGUUGUAGCAAAAAUCCAACGAACUCGAGUUGCAACCAACCGUGGAUGCAUAUUUUUAAUGGACAGAUGUAACAAAUGAAAAACGGUAGUAGCAAAAUUAAACAGUGGUUGCAGCAAAAUUACACGAUAUAAAAGUUGCAUCCACUACCAGCGAAGCGCGCACGUGCGAAAAAUGUUGCAUGACCCGCGCGAGCGAGCGAGCGACCGGCACGUCGGUUCCGCCGACACGCCGUAUGGAAACGUUUCCCUUUGAGUCCUCAAGGUUGGAUUACCUCCUUUCAUGGAUUCACUAGUAAAUUUUUAUUGUCAAAGAAAGAUUCAUUAGUAGUACUCCCUUUGUACCUAAAUAUAAGUCUUUCUAGAGGUUUCACUAAAAGACUACAUACAGAUACAUAUAGACAUGCUUUAGAGUGUAGAUUCACUCAUUUUGCUUCGUAUAUGGUCCAUUAGUGAAAUCUCUAAAAAGACUUAUAUUUAGGAAUGGAGGGAGUAGUAGUUUUUUUUAUUAAGAGAGCUUCGUCUUCGAUUUCCAUUAGUACAAAUCUGGACGUUGUUCCAAAUAGUUCAACUUUGUAUUUGUCCCGAUAUUCACCACACGUGUCAUAUUAGACAUGCGCCCGCACGUCCUGUGUGGCGUAAUCAGGAGGCAGCCCACACGGUCAUGUAUGGACGAACAUUAGAACAGUCAACACGUGUGGGCACAAUUACUUCGUGUCAUACGCCCAACAACUACUACUCAUCCUCACUCCGCGCGUGUGACGCGAGGAAAUAUGCCCACACGUCCUGACUGUGACAUCCUCGACUUUUGCUACAGUAGUAAUUGUAAUUAAACUACAGUGAUCAACCGCUGAUGAUGCCACGUCAUCGGAUUUCCAUCUCAGACCCGCGUUGAUUCGAGUUUGUCCGGAUUUCAGAUUUGAAAACAAAUGUAGAGUACGUUAUCAAUUCAUUGCUAAUAUUACAAGAAUAUAUAUGUAAAAACGAGGAAAGUAUUAAAGAAACCAUAAAGAUAAAAGAAAGAAAGAAAACUGAAAGAAGGAAAUAAUAAAAAGAAAAGGGAAAAGAGAAAAUAAAACAAAACAAAUCAAAAAAAAAAAGGAACAACCCCCCCCUACACGUCCGGAGCACCGCCUUCACCCCUCCGGGGCGUGCCACCAUCCAGGCCUGCUACACCACCUCCCCUAAUUAAUCCGGCGGCUGGGGCCCUCCCCAUCCCGCCGGCGGCUCCAUCUCCGGGGGGCCCUCCUCCCUGGCUCCUCCUCGCCGGCACAUCAUCACCGGAACCUCACCGUCACCGUCUCCACCGUCACUUCGCGCGAACUCCGGCUUCACCGGGCCGUCACGUCACCGUCGGUGAGCCCCUCCUCGGGCUCCUCCCACCUUGUCGUUCCCCCCGACGUCACGGUUCCGUUCCGGCAAACGGGGCCUCGAUCCGUCGACGGUGGACUCCGGUAGAAGGAUUCGAAGUUUGUGUUCUUCUAGGUGGAGUUAGAGAGAGUUCUCUGUCUCUGUUAAGUUAACAGAGAGAGAGAGAUGAGUGUUUUGAGAGAAAAAGAAAUAAAAACAAAGGUUGUAUUCCGUAUGUAUGUAUGAGAUGUGAUGUAUGUAUUUGUGUAUUUGGAUAUUUAGAGAAAUACGGUAUUUGAGCGGUUAGGUAUCUAAUAAAAAUAAAUGAGAAAAUAACCUUAAGCCACUUACCGGUGGGGCCAAUGCACCGCUGUCAAUGACAGGGAGGCCCCACGCGAUAAUUAAAAAUAAUGUUUUUCUUAAAUAAAUAAAUAAAUAGAUAUAUUAGUUAUAAUAAUUAAUUAACAUAAUUAGAGUAUGACACGUGGGUCCCUCGUUGAAUUAAUCUGAUUAAUAAAUAUUUAAUCUUAAAUAAAACUUGUGCCAUGACGUUCGGGACCCGCUGGUCAGUUGACCGGUCAAAUGUGAUGUCAGCCUGACAUCGCGAUGAUGUCAUAAUAGGAUUUUACUAAAUCUUUUAAAUCUGUUUUUAAUUCUUAAAUAAUUAAUAAAACUUUAAAAAUUAAUAUUAAAUAAUCCGUAAGUCAGAUCAAAAUAAUUUCAACAUGAAAGUUGAUCAGCAAAGCGAGACGAACCCGGAUACACGGUCCGUUCGUCUGUCACGCGUCCCUAGCAUAGCAAACAUGGAACUUUUCCAUCGUUUCCAGUAUAACCGGUAGUAGCCCGAGACCCGGAAAAUAUCGUCAGAUAUUCUUCCGACCCGUCUAUGACGGAUGUUGCUGCGUUAGCUCAUGUCUAGCCUGCAUAUUUUCAUGUCAUGCUUUGUGUUGCAUCGGUGCUAUUAUUUAUUGUUUGUUCCCCCUCUUCUUACCGGUAGACCCCGAGACUGACGCUGCUGCCGGGUACAUCUACGACCCUGCCGAUCAGUCCAUUGCCGCAGAGCAGCAAGGCAAGCAAACUCCCCUUGAUCAUUCCUAUAUCGCCUAUGUCUUUCUUCCUACUGCUUGCAUUAGUAUUUUGCUACUGUUGUAGUUAGCUCCUAUAUCUGAUGCAUAGCCUGUUUUUGAUGAACUGCUACUUUCAGUCCUGUACCUUUAAUAUGCUUAGUAUAGGUGGAGCAGUCAUCCCCUCUGACCCCGUAGAUCAGUUGCCCCGCUUGUUUCCAAAUCUCGAUCUCUGAUCGACGAGCCAGACCCGACACAGCACGUUCACCCCCCUUCGUUGUACGACGCUACAGGGAUACUAUCGGGUACCGAGGGUGACACCUCGCUAAGUACUCCUGAUGAUAUCUCUGUAGUAUAGCUAGUCGGUCGUGGUUAUCGAGGGUGAUUCCUCUUUCACCAUUCCCGAUGACGUCUCUGUCGUGCCACCCCGCGAGUGUGGGACCCCCGAGGGUGAUUCCUCUAAGCCCACCUUGCCGGGUACGUCGUUCGGAAUCCAACGAGGGUGAUACCUCGGAUUCCCCCGAUGUUACAACCACACAGUUACUCGACCAUGUUACUGGGAUCAUUGGUGUUUAGUUGUAAGACGGGUGGAUUCCCGCGAGACCGUGUUGUUGGCCUAAUUAAAAUGCUAAUGGAUUUGGGUAUUUGAUCUGGGUUGGUCGGAGACCUUUUCGCACUAACCGGCUACGCGGGAAGAAUUAUGGGUACUCGGCGUCGCGGUAUCAGCCGAAGCUUUUCAGAUGCCAGCAGUGUAGCGGCGCGCGCCCGAGUGGUCCCGAGAUGCAUCGCGCUUGUGAUUAAGGGAUGCUAGGACUGACGUCGGCCGCCCACGCCACGUGCAGGAGCGUGAAGGGGAACUGGGCCCAUGAACCCUUUGUGCUUAGGAUAUAGACCGGCGGGCUGGCCUCUCUGAUUAGUCUUAGGUGGGGCUGCGACGUGUCGAUAUUCCGAGGCCGGGCAGGACCCAGAAAAGUAUGUCCGGCCAGAGUGUUAUCGAGCGUGACGGGACAUGUGGUGCACCCCUGCAGGGAUGAAAAUUAACUAUUCGGAUAGCCGUGUCCACGGUUACAGGACGACUUGGAGUUGUGCCCCGAUCUUAUACAACUACAAUUGUUACUUAACUGGAAUUAGUUUGCCUCGGGAUUGCUUCCUCGCAGGGAGUCGAGGGAGGAUCUUCAGGCGUGACCUCACUUUAAUAUUGCUGCAACAAUAUGACUAUUAAUGUGUUACCCCCCCCUGUUCUACUCUCGUCUAUUGCUGCAAGACCCUGAAGAUGCUAGUCUUCGAUAGGACUAGGCAUUCUCUCUCUUUUCUCGCAUUGCUGCAGUCAGUCCACAUAUAACCCCCUUCUUUGAUACUGAUGCAUUAUUAGAAUAGUUCUGAUGUAAGACUUGCGAGUACUUCGGACGAGUACUCACCGCUGCUUUGCUCCCCCCUUGUUCCCUUGGUCCGUUUGCUGCGACCAGAUGAUGAAGCCCAGGAGAUGGAGGUCCCCGCCACCGACGACUGCUACCCCGACGGUGCCUACUACUACGUGGAGGCCGCUGAUGAUCAGGAGUAGAUAGGAGGUUCCCAGGCAGGAGGCCUCGCCUCGUUCGAUCGUUGUAUCUUUUGUGCUAGCCUUCUCUAAGGCACCCCAUGUUUUAUGUCUGUACUCAGAUAUUUGUUGCUUCCGCUGACUCGUGUGCUUAUCGAGCUUUCGUAUUCUAGCCCUCGAGGCCCCUGGCUUGUAAUAUGAAGCUGAUGUUAUUUUAUUUGUGUCUAGAGUUGUGUUGUGAUAUCUCCCCGUGAGUCCUUGGGUUUGAUCGUACGCAUUUGCGUGUAUGAUUAGCGUACGAUUAAGCCGAGGGCGUCACACUGACGCAGCUACGUUACUUACCCGCGGGAUGACACUUUAGUUACUCCGGGAAUGACAACUUUAGUUAUCCGGAAUAGCAAAUGUAGUUGUAAAAGCAUUGCAACUUCUCUGUUUUGGUAAACUAUAUAUAGUUGUCAUGUCUAAUUAACAUUGUAAUUAAACCAUAGUUACCAUGUGUGAUUAAUUAUUUGUCUUUUGUGGUCAAAUAAUAGUUACCAUGUGUGAUUAACUACUUAUCCUAUGUGGUCAAACAAUAGUUACCAUGUGUGAUUAACUAGUUGCCACGUGUGGUCCAAUCAUAGUUUUCAUGUAUGGUUAAUAAUCAUAGUUGCCAUGUGUGUUUACCUAGUUGUCACGUACAUGCAACUGCAGUUGCCAUCUAGCAACGAUUCAUAGUUGUCAUGUGUGUUUACCUAGUUACCACGUACGCAUAACUGUAGUUCCCAUCUAGCAACGAAUCAUAGUUGCCAUUUGUGUUUACGUAAUUGCCAAUGCCACAUAUGUGCAACUACAGUUGUCAUAUAGCAAUGCACGAGCAUUUUGUGGGCGAAGAACAGUUCACCCACACACACGGAUUAGGUGUUUAUUGUGUGGGCGAAAAAUGGUUUGCCCACACGGCGCAGCUGGCAACCGCGCGCUCAACUCUUGAGGAUCUGAUCAAGGAUGUUCGGUGGUUAUCCCUUUUUAGGGUUCGUACUAUGAGACCCUUUAGUCAUGGUGCACUUCUCAACUCUAUGAGGAACGCUUGGGCUUGUGCGGAGGGGGUGACCUUCAACAUUAAGGGACCGAAUCUGUUCCUCGCGCAAUGUCACGGCCUUGGUGACUAGAAGAGGGUUAUGGACAGAGGACCCUGUAGUUUAGAAGAGACCCUGUGGUGUUGGUUGAAUAUGAUGCGUUCACUAAUGUAGCGGAGUAUGCUUUGGACAUGUAUCCACUGUGGGCUAGGAUCAAGGGCCUUCCGGAUGGUUUGACUAGGAAGAAGGAAUUGGUAGAGAAGGUAGCGAAGAAAGUAGGUCAUCCUCCAUUUACGGUCAUAGUUAAUGAAGGGAAGAACAACCCCUCAAGUUUCUUAAGGGUGAAGGUGUUUGUGAAUGUUCAUGAAAUACUCAUUAGAUUUGUCCCAAUUAACUUGAAGGAAAUAAAUAAGUACCCUAUAAGCUAUGAGAAAUUGUCGGACUUCUGCUUCUUCUGUGGUCGUAUGGGGCAUGUUGUGGAGUGUGGGGAUGGUGUUCAUAAUCCCUCUACUUGCGAGUGGGUUGAAUGGCUGCAUUGGAAUAAUGAACCCGCAAGUGGAGUAGGAGGAGGUCAAGGAGGUAGUGAUUUCAGCUUCGGAAGGGGUGGAGGAUUGGGGAGUGGGAGAGGAAGGGGAGGUAGAGGUGAGGGAGGAACUAGCUAGUGCUGGGAGAUGGGGGCGUUCGGGUUUUUCUGAACCAGGUGAUGGGGAUGUGGCUACCCGGGGGUUGAUCUCACCCCUGGUAUUCAUGGGGCGGUUGUGUGGGAGGAUGGAAAGAGAAUCAUGAAGAGAUUGGCGUUCGAGAAUAGAUCUAGUAAUUCUCGGGGCAGGAGCUACCUAAUUUGCGUGGUAUAGUGUCCAGUACUGUUCUCAUGCUCGAGGGUGUUCGGACUUUGACGGCUACUACCUCCUAAGCUGGUGCGACUACACUGAAAAAGAACUCCAUAGUGAAGAGGAGGAGACAAGGCGUGGGAGGAAAUAGAAGUGACAUAAAUAUGACUGACGAGGCGGCAUCCGAGAUGGAAGGACGCCAGCCCCAAUGAUUCUCAUCAGUUGGAACUGUCGGGGUGGGGGGAAUCCCCAUACAGUUCAAGAACUAGCGACGAUCUGGCAGUCGCAUUCCCCAACAUGGUUUUCCUGUGUGACACCAGGCUGAACGCACAGAGGAUGAACAAGUCUCCCGGCGAGUUGUCUGCGAUGCUGAACGGCACAUGGAUGAACUCCGUAAAGAGCAUCAAGUGUUGAUGGUGAGCAAGACCACUAGUUUCAAGAGAAACGGCAAAGGCAAGAAGGGAAAUUCGAAGAAGAGCGGCAAGCCUGUUGCCAAUCCGCCGAAGAAACCCAAGGCUGGACCUAAGCCUGAAACAGAGUGCUUCUAUUGCAAGGGUAUGGGUCACUGGAAGCGCAAUUGCCCCAAGUAUCUGGCAGAUAAGAAGGCGGGCAAAGAAAAAUCAGGUAUAUUUGAUAUACAUGUUAUUGAUGUGUACUUAACCGGCUCUCGUAGUAGUGCCUGGGUAUUCGAUAUCGGUUCUGUUGCUCACAUUUGCAACUCGAAGCAGGAACUGCGGAAUAGACGAAGGCUGGCGAAAGACGAAGUGACGAUGCGCGUAGGAAACGGUUCCAAGGUUGAUGCAAUCGCCGUCGGCACAGUGUCACUUCAACUACCAUCGGGAUUAGUGAUGAACUUAAAUCAUUGUUAUUUAGUGCCUGCGUUGAGCAUGAACAUUAUAUCUGGAUCUUGUUUAUUGCGAGACGGUUACUCUUUUAAGUCUGAGAAUAAUGGUUGUUCUAUUUCUAUGAGUAACAUCUUUUAUGGUCUUGUUCCGAAGAAGGGAGGAUAGUCAUCUUGCCCCUGAGGCAUGGUUCGCACGUGUCAAAUGAAUCAACCUCAAGUGACUCCAAAAGUCCAUAAGCAGCGAGAUUUUUCAUGCGCUUUACACCGGGAUGACCCGAUCGGCAGUGCCAAAAAAAUUCCGCGCUAUCAUUGUUUACUCUAACUCUUUUGGUCUCAAUGUUAUGUAUAUGCGUAUCUCUAUCAAGAUUCAAUAUGAACAAUCCUCUCACAUUCGGUGCAUGACCAUAAAAGAUGUUACUCAUAGAAAUAGAACAACCAUUAUUCUCAGACUUAAAAGAGUAACCGUCUCGCAAUAAACAAGAUCCAGAUAUAAUGUUCAUGCUCAACGCAGGCACUAAAUAACAAUGAUUUAAGUUCAUCACUAAUCCCGAUGGUAGUUGAAGUGACACUGUGCCGACGGCGAUUGCAUCAACCUUGGAACCGUUUCCUACGCGCAUCGUCACUUCGUCUUUCGCCAGCCUUCGUCUAUUCCGCAGUUCCUGCUUCGAGUUGCAAAUGUGAGCAACAGAACCGAUAUCGAAUACCCAGGCACUACUACGAGAGCCGGUUAAGUACACAUCAAUAACAUGUAUAUCAAAUAUACCUGAUUUUUCUUUGCCCGCCUUCUUAUCUGCCAGAUACUUGGGGCAAUUGCGCUUCCAGUGACCCAUACCCUUGCAAUAGAAGCACUCUGUUUCAGGCUUAGGUCCAGCCUUGGGUUUCUUCGGCGGAUUGGCAACAGGCUUGCCGCUCUUCUUCGAAUUUCCCUUCUUGCCUUUGCCGUUUCUCUUGAAACUAGUGGUCUUGCUCACCAUCAACACUUGAUGCUCUUUACGGAGUUCAGACUCUGCGACUUUCAGCAUCGCAAACAACUCGCCGGGAGACUUGUUCAUCCCUUGCAUGUUGUAGUUCAACACAAAGCCUUUAUAGCUUGGCGGCAGUGAUUGAAGGAUUCUGUCAGUGAUAGCUUCUUGCGGGAGUUCAAUCCCCAGUUCAGCUAGACGGUUUGAGUACCCAGACAUUUUGAGCACAUGUUCACUGACACACGAGUUUUCCUCCAUCUUGCAAGCAUAGAAUUUAUCGGAGGUCUCAUACCUCUCGAUCCGGGCGUUCUUCUGAAAGAUAAACUUCAACUCCUGGAACAUCUCAAAUGCUCCAUGACGCUCAAAGCGACGUUGAAGUCCCGGUUCUAAGCCAUACAAGACUGCACAUUGAACUAUUGAGUAGUCCUCCUUACGUGCUAACCAAGCGUUCUUAACAUCCUGAUCAGCCGUAGUGGGUGGUUCAUCUCCUAGCGCAGCAUUAAGGACAUAAUCCUUCUUUCCAGCUUGUAAGAUUAGCUUAAGAUUACGAGCCCAGUCUACAAAGUUGCUUCCAUCAUCUUUCAACUUAGCUUUCUCUAGGAACGUAUUAAAAUUCAGGAUGACACUUGCGUGAGCCAUGAUCUACAACACAAAUAUAUUCAAAGUGGACUUAGACUAUGUUCAAGAUAAUUAGUGUUCAACUUAAUCAAAUUAUAUGCUAAACUCCCACUCAAAAAGUACAUCUCUCUAGUCAUUUGAGUGGUUCAUGAUCCACUUACACUAUCCCAAGUCCGAUCAUCACGUGAGUUGAGUAUAGUUUCAGUGGUAAGCAUCCCUAUGCUAAUCAUAUCAACUAUAUGAUUCAUGAUCGACCUUUCGGUCUCAUGUGUUCCGAGGCCAUGUCUGCACAUGCUAGGCUCGUCAAGCUUAACCCGAGUGUUCCGCGUGCGCAACUGUUUUGCACCCGUUGUAUGUGAACGUUGAGUCUAUCACACCCGAUCAUCACGUGGUGUCUCGAAACGACGAACUGUAGCAACGGUGCACAGUCGGGGAGAACACAAUUUCAUCUUGAAAUUUUAGUGAGAGAUCACCUCAUAAUGCUACCGUCGUUCUAAGAAAAAUAAGGUGCAAAAAAAGAUUAACAUCACAUGCAAUUCAUAAGUGACAUGAUAUGGCCAUCAUCACGUGCUUCUUGAUCUCCAUCACCAAAGCACCGGCACGAUCUUCUUGUCACCGGCGCCACACCAUGAUCAUCCAUCAACGUGUUUCCAUCGGGGUUGUCGUGCUACUUAUGCUAUUACUACUAAAGCUACAUCCUAGCAAAAUAGUAAACGCAUCUGCAAGCACAAACGUUAGUAUAAAGACAACCCUAUGGCUCCUGCCGGUUGUCGUACCAUCGACAUGCAAGUCGAUAUUUCUAUUACAACAUGAUCAUCUCAUACAUCCAAUAUAUCACAUCACAUCGUUGGCCAUAUCACAUCACAAUCAUACCCUGCAAAAACAAGUUAGACGUUCUCUAAUUUUGUCGUUGCAUGUUUUACGUGGUGACCAAGGGUAUCUAGUAGGAUCGCAUCUUACUGACGCAAACACCACAAUGGAGAUAUAUGAGUUGCUAUUUAACCUCAUCCAAGGACCUCCUCAGUCAAAUCCGAUUCAACUAAAGUUGGAGAAACCGUCACUUGCCAGUCAUCUUUGAGCAAAGGGGGUUACUCGUAACGAUGAAACCAGUCUCUCGUAAGCGUACGAGUAAUGUCGGUCCAUGCCGCUUCAAUCCAACAAUACAGCGGAAUCAAGAAAAGACUAAGGAGGGCAGCAAAACGCACAUCACCACCCACAAAACCUUUUGUGUUCUACUCGAGAAGACAUCUACGCAUGAACCUAGCUCAUGAUGCCACUGUUGGGGAACGUCGCAUGGGAAACAAAAAUUUUCCUACGCGCACGAAGACCUAUCAUGGUGAUGUCCAUCUACGAGAGGGGAUGAGUGAUCUACGUACCCUUGUAGAUCGUAUAGCAGAAGCGUUUAGAGAACGCGGUUGAUGUAGUGGAACGUCCUCACGUCCCUCGAUCCGCCCCGCGAACAAUCCCGCGAUCAGUCCCACGAUCUAGUACCGAACGGACGGCACCUCCGCGUUCAGCACACGUACAGCUCGACGAUGAUCUCGGCCUUCUUGAUCCAGCAAGAGAGACGGAGAGGUAGAAGAGUUCUCCGGCAGCGUGACGGCGCUCCGGAGGUUGGUGAUGAUCUCGUCUCAGCAGGGCUCCGCCCGAGCUCCGCAGAAACAUGAUCUAGAGGAAAAACUAUGGAGGUAUGUGGUCGGGCAGCCGUGAGAAAGUCGUCUCAAAUCUGCCAUAAAAGCCCCAUAUAUAUAGGAGGAGGGAGGGGGACCUUGCCUUGGGGUCCAAGGGAUCCCCAAGGGGUCGGCCGAGCCAGGGGAGAGGACUCUCCCCCCCCCAAACCGAGUCCUACCUGGUUUGGUGGGAGGGAGUCCUUCCCCCUUCCCACUUCUUCCUUUUUUUUUUCUUUCCUUUGAUUUUUUCUCUCUUGGCGCAUAGGGCAUUGGUGGGCUGUCCCACCAGCCCACUAAGGUCUGGUGUGACCCCCCCAAAUGCCUAUGGGCUUCCCCGGAGUGGGUUGCCCCCCUCCGGUGAACUCCCGGAACCCAUUCGUCAUUCCCGGUACAUUCCCGGUAACUCCGAAAACCUUCCGGUAAUCAAAUGAGGUCAUCCUAUAUAUCAAUCUUCGUUUCCGGACUAUUCCGGAAACCCUCGUGACGUCCGUGAUCUCAUCUGGGACUCCGAACAACAUUCGGUAACCAACCAUAUAACUCAAAUACGCAUAAAACAACGUCGAACCUUAAGUGUGCAGACCCUGCGGGUUCGAGAACUAUGUAGACAUGACCCGAGAGACUCCUCGGUCAAUAUCCAACAGCGGGACCUGGAUGCCCAUAUUGGAUCCUACAUAUUCUACGAAGAUCUUAUCGUUUGAACCUCAGUGCCAAGGAUUCGUAUAAUCCCGUAUGUCAUUCCCUUUGUCCUUCGGUAUGUUACUUGCCCGAGAUUCGAUCGUCAGUAUCCGUAUACCUAUUUCAACCUUGUUUACCGGCAAGUCUCUUUACUCGUUCCGUAAUACAAGAUCCCGCAACUUACACUAAGUUACAUUGCUUGCAAGGCUUGUGUGUGAUGUUGUAUUACCGAGUGGGCCCCGAGAUACCUCUCCGUCACACGGAGUGACAGAUCCCAGUCUUGAUCCAUACUAACUCAACUAACACCUUCGGAGAUACCUGUAGAGCAUCUUUAUAGUCACCCAGUUACGUUGCGACGUUUGAUACACACAAAGCAUUCCUCCGGUGUCAGUGAGUUAUAUGGUCUCAUGGUCAUAGGAAUAAAUACUUGACACGCAGAAAACAGUAGCAACAAAAUGACACGAUCAACAUGCUACGUCUAUUAGUUUGGGUCUAGUCCAUCACGUGAUUCUCCCAAUGACGUGAUCCAGUUAUCAAACAACAACACCUUGUUCAUAAUCAGAAGACACUGACUAUCAUCGAUCAACUGGCUAGCCAACUAGAGGCAUGCUAGGGACGGUGUUUUGUCUAUGUAUCCACACAUGUAAAUGAGUCUUCAUUCAAUACAAUUAUAGCAUGGAUAAUAAACUAUUAUCUUGAUACAGGAAUUAUAAUAAUAACUAUACAUUUAUUAUUGCCUCUAGGGCAUAAUUCCAACAGUCUCCCACUUGCACUAGAGUCAAUAAUCUAGCCCUCACAUCACCAUGUGAAUUACAUUGUAAUGAAUCUAACACCCAUACAGUUCUGGUGUCGAUCAUGUUUUGGCCGUGGAAGAGGUUUAGUCAACGGGUCUGCUACAUUCAGAUCCGUGUGCACUUUGCAUAUAUUUACGUCCUCCUCCUCGAUGUAGUCGCGGAUGAGGUUGAAGCGUCGUUUGAUGUGUCUGGUCUUCUUGUGAAACCUUGGUUCCUUUGCUAAGGCAAUGGCACCAGUGUUGUCACAGAACAAGGUUAUUGGAUCCAGUGCACUUGGCACCACUCCAAGAUCCAUCAUGAACUGCUUCAUCCAGACACCCUCCUUAGCCGCCUCCGAGGCAGCCAUGUACUCCGCUUCACAUGUAGAAUCUGCUACGACGCUUUGCUUGGAACUGCACCAGCUUACUACACCCCCAUUAAGAAUAAAUACGUAUCCGGUUUGCGACUUAGAGUCGUCCGGAUCUGUGUCAAAGCUUGCAUCGACGUAACCUUUUACGGCGAGCUCUUCGUCACCUCCAUACACGAGAAACAUCUCCUUAGUCCUUUUCAGGUACUUCAGGAUAUUCUUGACCGCCGUCCAGUGAUCCACUCCUGGAUUACUCUGGAACCUACCUGCCAUACUUAUGGCCAGGCUAACAUCCGGUCUAGUGCACAGCAUUGCAUACAUGAUAGAGCCUAUGGCUGAAGCAUAGGGGACAGAGCACAUAUGCUCUCUAUCUUCAUCAGUUGCUGGGCACUGAGUCUUACUCAAUCUCGUACCUUGUAACACUGGCAAGAACCCUUUCUUGGACUGUUCCAUUUUGAACCUCUUCAAAACUUUAUCAAGGUAUGUGCUUUGUGAAAGUCCUAUCAGGCGUUUUGAUCUAUCCCUACAGAUCUUAAUGCCUAGAAUGUAAGCAGCUUCUCCUAGGUCCUUCAUAGAGAAACUUUUAUUCAAGUAACCUUUUAUGCUCUCCAAAAUCUCUACGUUGUUUCCAAUCAGUAAUAUGUCAUCCACAUAUAAUAUUAGAAACUCCAUAGAGCUCCCACUCACUUUCUUGUAAAUACAAGAUUCUCCAACCACUUGCAUAAACCCAAAUGCUUUGAUCACCUCAUCAAAGCGUUUGUUCCAACUCCGAGAUGCUUGCACCAGUCCAUAAAUGGAUCGCUGGAGCUUGCACACCUUGUCAGCAUUUUUAGGAUCGACAAAACCUUCGGGUUGCAUCAUAUACAACUCUUCCGUAAGGAAACCGUUAAGGAACGCCGUUUUGACAUCCAUCUGCCAGAUUUCAUAAUCGAAAAAUGCAGCUAUUGCUAACAUGAUUCUGACGGACUUAAGCAUCGCUACGGGAGAGAAAGUCUCAUCGUAGUCAAUUCCUGGAACUUGUGAAAAACCCUUUGCCACAAGUCGAGCUUUAUAAACGGUCACAUUACCGUCAGCGUCCGUCUUCUUCUUAAAGAUCCAUUUGUUCUGAAUAGCCUUGCGGCCCUCAGGCAGUAUCUCCAAAGUCCACACUUUGUUCUCAUACAUGGAUCCUAUCUCGGAUUUCAUGGCUUCUAGCCAUUUGUUGGAAUCUGGGCCCACCAUUGCUUCUUCAUAAUUUGCAGGUUCAUUGUUGUCUAACAACAUGAUUGAUAAGACGGGAUUACCGUACCACUCUGUAGCAGCGCGUGAUCUCGUCGACCUGCGUGGUUCAACAGAAACUUGAACUGGAGUUUCAUGAUCAUCAUCAUUAACUUCCUCCUCAACCGGCGUCGCAAUGACAGAGGUUUCCCCUUGCCCUGCGCCACCAUCCAGAGGGAUGAGAGGUUCGACAACCUCGUCAAGUUCUAUCUUCCUCCCACUCAAUUCUCUCGAGAGAAACUCCUUCUCGAGAAAAGUUCCGUUCUUAGCAACAAACACUUUGCCCUCGGAUUUGAGAUAGAAGGUGUACCCAACUGUCUCUUUUGGGUAACCUAUGAAGACGCACUUUUCCGCUUUGGGUUCCAGCUUUUCAGGCUGAAGCUUUUCGACAUAAGCAUCACAUCCCCAAACUUUUAAGAAACGACAACUUUGGCCUUUUGCCAUACCACAGUUCGUAUGGUGUCGUCUCAACGGAUUUCGAUGGUGCCCUAUUUAAAGUGAAUGCAGUUGUUUCUAAUGCAUAACCCCAAAACAAUAACGGCAAAUCAGUAAGAGACAUCAUAGAUCGCACCAUUUCUAACAAAGUACGAUUACGACGUUCGGACACACCAUUACGCUGUGGUGUUCCAGGCGGUGUUAACUGCGAAACAAUUCCACAUUGUCUUAAGUGAGUACCAAACUCGAAACUUAGAUAUUCACCCCCACGAUCAGACCGUAGGAACUUGAUCUUCUUGUUACGAUGAUUUUCCACUUCACUCUGAAAUUGCUUGAACUUUUCAAAUGUUUCAGACUUGUGCUUCAUCAAGUAGACAUAACCAUAUCUACUUAAAUCGUCAGUGAAGGUGAGAAAAUAACGAUAUCCGCCGCGUGCCUCCACGCUCAUUGGACCACACACAUCGGUAUGUAUUAUUUCCAACAAGUCACUUGCACGCUCCAUUGUUCCGAAGAACGGAGUCUUAGUCAUCUUGCCCAUGAGGCAUGGUUCGCACGUGUCAUGUGAAUCAUAGUCAAGUGACUCGAAAGUGCAUCACCAUGGAGUUUCUUCAUGCGCUUUACGACACUGAUACCCAAGCGGCAGGGCCUAAGAAAUAUGGCGCUUUCAUUGUUUACUCUAACUCUUUUGGUCUCAAUGUUAUGUAUAUGCGUAUCUCUAUCAAGAUUCAAUAUGAACAAUCCUCUCACAUUCGGUGCAUGACCAUAAAAGAUGUUACUCAUAGAAAUAGAACAACCAUUAUUCUCAGACUUAAAAGAGUAACCGUCUCGCAAUAAACAAGAUCCAGAUAUAAUGUUCAUGCUCAACGCAGGCACUAAAUAACAAUGAUUUAAGUUCAUCACUAAUCCCGAUGGUAGUUGAAGUGACACUGUGCCGACGGCGAUUGCAUCAACCUUGGAACCGUUUCCUACGCGCAUCGUCACUUCGUCUUUCGCCAGCCUUCGUCUAUUCCGCAGUUCCUGCUUCGAGUUGCAAAUGUGAGCAACAGAACCGAUAUCGAAUACCCAGGCACUACUACGAGAGCCGGUUAAGUACACAUCAAUAACAUGUAUAUCAAAUAUACCUGAUUUUUCUUUGCCCGCCUUCUUAUCUGCCAGAUACUUGGGGCAAUUGCGCUUCCAGUGACCCAUACCCUUGCAAUAGAAGCACUCUGUUUCAGGCUUAGGUCCAGCCUUGGGUUUCUUCGGCGGAUUGGCAACAGGCUUGCCGCUCUUCUUCGAAUUUCCCUUCUUGCCUUUGCCGUUUCUCUUGAAACUAGUGGUCUUGCUCACCAUCAACACUUGAUGCUCUUUACGGAGUUCAGACUCUGCGACUUUCAGCAUCGCAAACAACUCGCCGGGAGACUUGUUCAUCCCUUGCAUGUUGUAGUUCAACACAAAGCCUUUAUAGCUUGGCGGCAGUGAUUGAAGGAUUCUGUCAGUGAUAGCUUCUUGCGGGAGUUCAAUCCCCAGUUCAGCUAGACGGUUUGAGUACCCAGACAUUUUGAGCACAUGUUCACUGACACACGAGUUUUCCUCCAUCUUGCAAGCAUAGAAUUUAUCGGAGGUCUCAUACCUCUCGAUCCGGGCGUUCUUCUGAAAGAUAAACUUCAACUCCUGGAACAUCUCAGAUGCUCCAUGACGCUCAAAGCGACGUUGAAGUCCCGGUUCUAAGCCAUACAAGACUGCACAUUGAACUAUUGAGUAGUCCUCCUUACGUGCUAACCAAGCGUUCUUAACAUCCUGAUCAGCCGUAGUGGGUGGUUCAUCUCCUAGCGCAGCAUUAAGGACAUAAUCCUUCUUUCCAGCUUGUAAGAUUAGCUUAAGAUUACGAGCCCAGUCUACAAAGUUGCUUCCAUCAUCUUUCAACUUAGCUUUCUCUAGGAACGUAUUAAAAUUCAGGAUGACACUUGCGUGAGCCAUGAUCUACAACACAAAUAUAUUCAAAGUGGACUUAGACUAUGUUCAAGAUAAUUAGUGUUCAACUUAAUCAAAUUAUAUGCUAAACUCCCACUCAAAAAGUACAUCUCUCUAGUCAUUUGAGUGGUUCAUGAUCCACUUACACUAUCCCAAGUCCGAUCAUCACGUGAGUUGAGUAUAGUUUCAGUGGUAAGCAUCCCUAUGCUAAUCAUAUCAACUAUAUGAUUCAUGAUCGACCUUUCGGUCUCAUGUGUUCCGAGGCCAUGUCUGCACAUGCUAGGCUCGUCAAGCUUAACCCGAGUGUUCCGCGUGCGCAACUGUUUUGCACCCGUUGUAUGUGAACGUUGAGUCUAUCACACCCGAUCAUCACGUGGUGUCUCGAAACGACGAACUGUAGCAACGGUGCACAGUCGGGGAGAACACAAUUUCAUCUUGAAAUUUUAGUGAGAGAUCACCUCAUAAUGCUACCGUCGUUCUAAGAAAAAUAAGGUGCAAAAAAAGAUUAACAUCACAUGCAAUUCAUAAGUGACAUGAUAUGGCCAUCAUCACGUGCUUCUUGAUCUCCAUCACCAAAGCACCGGCACGAUCUUCUUGUCACCGGCGCCACACCAUGAUCAUCCAUCAACGUGUUUCCAUCGGGGUUGUCGUGCUACUUAUGCUAUUACUACUAAAGCUACAUCCUAGCAAAAUAGUAAACGCAUCUGCAAGCACAAACGUUAGUAUAAAGACAACCCUAUGGCUCCUGCCGGUUGUCGUACCAUCGACAUGCAAGUCGAUAUUUCUAUUACAACAUGAUCAUCUCAUACAUCCAAUAUAUCACAUCACAUCGUUGGCCAUAUCACAUCACAAUCAUACCCUGCAAAAACAAGUUAGACGUUCUCUAAUUUUGUCGUUGCAUGUUUUACGUGGUGACCAAGGGUAUCUAGUAGGAUCGCAUCUUACUGACGCAAACACCACAAUGGAGAUAUAUGAGUUGCUAUUUAACCUCAUCCAAGGACCUCCUCAGUCAAAUCCGAUUCAACUAAAGUUGGAGAAACCGUCACUUGCCAGUCAUCUUUGAGCAAAGGGGGUUACUCGUAACGAUGAAACCAGUCUCUCGUAAGCGUACGAGUAAUGUCGGUCCAUGCCGCUUCAAUCCAACAAUACAGCGGAAUCAAGAAAAGACUAAGGAGGGCAGCAAAACGCACAUCACCACCCANNNNNNNNNNNNNNNNNNNNNNNNNNNNNNNNNNNNNNNNNNNNNNNNNNNNNNNNNNNNNNNNNNNNNNNNNNNNNNNNNNNNNNNNNNNNNNNNNNNNNNNNNNNNNNNNNNNNNNNNNNNNNNNNNNNNNNNNNNNNNNNNNNNNNNNNNNNNNNNNNNNNNNNNNNNNNNNNNNNNNNNNNNNNNNNNNNNNNNNNNNNNNNNNNNNNNNNNNNNNNNNNNNNNNNNNNNNNNNNNNNNNNNNNNNNNNNNNNNNNNNNNNNNNNNNNNNNNNNNNNNNNNNNNNNNNNNNNNNNNAGUUACGUUGCGACGUUUGAUACACACAAAGCAUUCCUCCGGUGUCAGUGAGUUAUAUGAUCUCAUGGUCAUAGGAAUAAAUACUUGACACGCAGAAAACAGUAGCAACAAAAUGACACGAUCAACAUGCUACGUCUAUUAGUUUGGGUCUAGUCCAUCACGUGAUUCUCCCAAUGACGUGAUCCAGUUAUCAAGCAACAACACCUUGUUCAUAAUCAGAAGACAUUGACUAUCAUCGAUCAACUGGCUAGCCAACUAGAGGCAUGCUAGGGACGGUGUUUUGUCUAUGUAUCCACACAUGUAAAUGAGUCUUCAUUCAAUACAAUUAUAGCAUGGAUAAUAAACUAUUAUCUUGAUACAGGAAUUAUAAUAAUAACUAUACAUUUAUUAUUGCCUCUAGGGCAUAAUUCCAACACCAUCGUCGUGUUCCGAUCAUAUUGUUGUGGUUCUUAAAGGGUCUGUAGACCCAGGUCCAUCGAGAGCAAAAGCUAGAAGAUAUGAACUUUUCUCGGAGAGAGAUGAGUCGCUAGCUCCCAGAUGUGAUAAAAUCUGCGUGGGAUGCGGUAGGGGCUGUGCGCAAUCUGAGCCAGCUUAAAGCAGCCCUGCCAAGAUGAUGCGGACAUUAGGUACAUGGAGCAAAAAAAAUCGGCAAUGUGACUAGGGAGCUUGCUAAAUCGAGGUCGUAGCUGGAGGAACUCAUGCAUAUGAACGCUGACCAACACAACAUCCCGUUAGUAACAGAUAGAAUGAAUGAGCUCCUCUACCAAGAGGAAAUGUUAUGGCUCCAGAGAUCGCGGGUGUCUUGGUUGAAAGAGGGGAACAAAACAGUAAUUUAUUCCACAGUAAAGCGGUAUGGAGAGCUCGGAAGAACAAGAUUUGCUAGCUAACGAACAGUAUGGGCGUGGUUCACUCGGAGAUGGCAACGAUGGGGAAACUUGUGAACGAGUAUUUCCAUGAUAUAUUCUCGACAGAUUUUACCCUUGAUGAUGCACCGAUUUUAGAUCUUGUCGAGUCUAAGGUUUCACCAGAAGAGAAUGAAGUACUCUGUGCUCAAUUCACAGACAAGGAGAUCUCGGAUGCGCUCUUCCAAAUUGGCCCUCUUAAAGCCCCGCGUCCGGAUGGCUUCCCCGCCAGGUUCUUCCAACGAAACUGGGGUGCGUUAAAGGAGGGAGUAAUUGCUGUGGUGAAGGAUUUCUUUGCGUCCGGAGCAAUGCCGGAGGGGGUAAAUGCCAUGUUUAUUGUCCUUAUUCCAAAAAUUUCUAACCGUGUGAAGGUUUCUGACUACAGGCCCCUUUUGUCUUUGCAAUGUAAUUUACAAAGUGAUUUUAAGUGCCUGGUGAAUCAACUUUGGCCCCUCUUGGAUAAUCUGGUGUCUCCGGAGUAGAGUGUGUUUAUUCCUGGUAGAAUAAUCAGUGACAAGCAUUAGUGGCUUUUGAAUGUCUUCACUAUAUCAAGCAGGAGAAGGACCCAUCUAAAAGAUUUCGUGCUUACAAGUUGGAUCUAUCGAAGGCUUAUGAUAGGGUGGAUUGGGUGUUCUUCAAGCAGAUGAUGCAAAAGAAGGGUUUCCAUCAACGAUGGAUUGAUUGGAUCAUGAUGUGCGUCACAUCUGUGAGGUAUACAGUUAAAUUAAAUGAGACUCUCUUGGAUUCAUUUGCACCAUCGCGUGGUCUUCGGCAAGGAGAUCCACUCUCCCCUUUUUUAUUGAUGUUGAUUGCGGAUGGUCUGUCUGAGUUACUAAGGAAUAAAGUUGGGUCGGGUGUGAUCACCCGUGUUAAGGUAUACACAGGUGCCUGUCGUGGUAUUUCCGGGACAGUUGUCAGGGGGGGUGGCUUAAAGAGGUGAGAGCAAGACCGUUGUGGAGAUCCGGAAUGGGUUGGGCAACAACACGCGGUGGUUUACCCAGGUUCGGGGCCCUCGCGUGGAGGUAACACCCCUACUCCUGCAUGUGUGUAUAUAUGGAGAGUAUAUCGUUGUACAUGGGGCUCCUUGAGCUGUAUGGAGAAGGAAGAAGGAGGCAGCCCGCAAAGACAUUGAAAGAGCACUCGGUGUUUUGCAAUCUAGGUUUGCCAUUGUCCGUGGUCCUGCUCGUUUUUGGGAUAAGAGAACCUUGAAGAACAUCAUGACAUGUUGUGUUAUCCUGCACAAUAUGAUUCUUGAAGAUGAGAGAGGAUUGAACUUAGAAUUCUUUUACGACAAUGUGGGUAGCCGUGUCAACAAACAGCCGAAAACAAACUGCAUUAGAGCUUUUAAUCACAAUACCAUGAUCAUCGACAUUCCAGACACCCACUUUCAACUUGUCAAAGAUACAAAAGAACACCAUUGGCAAGCCCUUGAACAGUGGUGUUAUUUGAUAUUCUUGACAAAGUGAUGAAUAAUGUUUGUAAUGCGGAUGAUUAUUGUAUUGUGUUUGAUUCGAAUAAUUCAGUUUGUUUUCGGCUGUUGAAUUAUGUUGUAUUUGAUAUUUGCGGGCUGAUGAGCAUAUGAAUAAAGAAAUUCAGCAAACACUGAAGGUCAUUUUGCAGAACAUGACAAUCAAUCAGAAAUCAGAAGUGGUGACUCCGAGCCCUCUACCUACAAAUUCAUUACCUGUAGUGCUCAUUCAUUACCUGUAGUUAUCCUCACUAUAUAUUCUUUUAUGUGGUACUAUGCAGAAUGAAGAUGUAUGAGAUGAAAAAGUUGGACGUUAAGACAUUGGGUUCAUCGACCCAAAUACUAUUAAUGAAGAGACAUAGACACGUAAAUGGGAACGAGAAGACACAGAGAAAAGCUUGGUAGAGUUCUUGGUGCGACUAAGUAUCCAACAAUAAAUACUACUUCCUCACAACUUCGGGUGAGUGACACUGUCUUGUACUACAAAUUCUGUUUUUGCUUACUCUAGAUUUUAAUAAGUGUAGUUGAUGAGUUAUAUAUGCAUAUGCCCGCUUAAUUAUACAAACGUGUGCGCAUGCAGUUUUCAAUGGAUCGUGCUAAUCAUUGAAGUUGACGAGGGAAAAAUUCUAGUACUGGACUCACUACUUAAAGACGAUAGAGACUACACAAAUAGUGAAGGGGAUGAUCGAUAGGCAAUUUCAAUCAUUAUCGAACUAUAUGUCGUCCUCUUUAGAUCAUUUCCUGAUAUCAACUAAUUAAUAACUCCUUUAUUCAUUUUCUAUGCCGGCGGACAAGGCUUGGGAAAAGUUCAUCAAACAGGUUGAAGGCCGAUGGAAACAAAAAUUGAAAUGGGUGCGAUCCAGGGUAAUUAAUUAAGUAGUACUAGCUAGCUACCAUCUCUUCAAUUUUAGUUUCAAUACCAUUAUCAUGCUUGAUUAAUUAUUACCUGAUUGAAUUCUAUUCUCGUAAAGUGCCUCAGGCAGGCGUCGGGAAAUAAUUUAUGUGCAUACUAGGUUUGCGAGAACAUUCGCAUGAUGACGUUCGAAAGGUCCAAAAGUGAUAGACAACUUUGGGUAUGUUUGCCAAAACACUAUUCACAAUUCUUUUUAUCAUGAUCUAAUAUACAUACACACACCUAAUAUAUUCAUAUUGACCUUCUUUUGUAAUAAAGAUGCAAGACAGGAAGGAUCAGCUCCUACCAACGGAUCGCGUACGAGCAAUUCAAAAGGAAAUAACAGGAUUUUUGCUCGAUCAGGUCAUAGAUCCCAAAGGAGAAUACCACUACAAGCUGUAAUGCCUCCAUGUAUUAAUUUGCAAAUUGUAGGAGAAAAAAAUAAUAUAUAUACAUAUAUAUAUGUGUGUGUGUGUGUAUGUGAAUGGUCGUGCGAGAAAUUCGAUAAUAUAUAUAUAUAUAUAUAUAUAUAUAUAUGAUAGGUUCUACGAGAAUUUUUUAUUUUGGAUAUGCAUAAUGUGUACAAUAUGUAGUAGCGUAAAAUAUGUUUGAAAUAAAAAGAAUUAAAUGAUAACACAAAUUAAAAGAAAAAUUAAACCAGAAACCUAAAACCCCAAAACCUGUUAGUCCCGAUUGGUGUAACCAACCGGGACUAAAGGCCCCAUCCCCGGUGCGGGCUUGUGCUACAUGGUGGGCAUUCGGUCCUGCUUCGUGAUGAACCGGCACUAAAGAGGAGGGAGGGGGCUUUAGUCCUCACCCUUUAGUGCCGGUUGCAGAACCGGCACUAAAGGUCCUUACGAACUGGAACUACUGCCUGAUUCUGCACGAGUGCACCAAUACCCAACACACUUGGGGGGGGGGGAGGAGGGAGGACACCACUUCGAGACUGUCGUCGGCCUUCGACGAGUCUUCCCAAAGCCCAUGGCCACGCGAGGUCAUGUGACGCCAUGCCUGUGGUUACCGGCACCGAUCCAUGCACCGACGUACAUGUAUCGCGACCACCACCAUCGAGCACCGUAUCCGCGAAGGGUGCCCGAGCAUCCUUGCAAGCACAUCCCGGGUCAAUCCCAACCUCUCCUAUCCAAAGCAAAAGCUUUAAACCGCCUCGGACCCCAAUCUGAUCCGUCCGAGCACGAAUCCUAGAUCUGAACACCACCGGCGUCCGCCCAGCCCCACGCAUCUUAAGAACAGAUCCAGGAGAAGGAGCCUCGCCACCGCCGCCCCACGUCACGUGAAGAAGCCUCGCCACCGCACCAGCACAACCACGCUAGGGAUGCUCCGCCAGCAGCAGAACGUGAACAAGAGAGACCGGCAGCUCGAUCUAGUUCCUGGUGAGGAACGGCGGUCCUUUUUUUCCGGUGGUGGAUAUUUCAUGCCAUCAUGGAAUCCCACUAGGCACAUUAAUUUCGCAUGAUGCCCCGUGCGCGAAACAAUUGAAAGCAUUCAUUUCGCAUUUUUGAUUGGACGACCAGGCUACAGAGUCACGUUUGCGCCCUCGAGUUUAACUUUGCAUGGACAAAUGAGUGAGCGGGAAACACACUAGUAGGUGAUUAAGUCACGUGUGCGCCUUCGUCCUCUCCAUCGGUGGGCGAGUACAUGCAACCGUCCAAGAAACCCUCUAGAAACUCCCCGCACAUGCACCGUCCAGCCCACAAACCCACAAAAUACGCAUAUCCUUUCCCCGGCUAAAUGUCUAGUCCAUUUGAAGAUAAGAGCUCGUUCCCAAAACUAAAGGCCCGUCCAACUCAGUCCAUUCUCCCUUAGGUUCACCAUAACACAAAGACAGAUCAACACCCUCUCCUUCCUCGCUACUCUCCUCCACUAGUGGAAAACGGGCCUUUCGCCUGUACCCUUUAGUCCCGGCCUUCAUCUGGGCCGGGACUAAAGGCCCGGCCACGUCGCCCAAAAUCGCAAUGCCGCCCACGAGACUUUGGUCCCGGCCCGUAAGGAGCCUUUAGUCCCGGUUUGUGUCUCAAACCGGGACUAAAGGGCUACGCGGUGUGCAGCCCGCAUGUGCGCCACCUUUAGUCCCGGUUUGUGUCUCAAACCGGGACUAAAGUCCUCUGCCUAUAUAUAUUGGCCACAGCCCUCCUCUCCCCUCUUCCUUGCAUUUUUCUUGGAUGGAAGAGUGUGGGUGUGUGCUAGCUCUCCAUUUUUCUUGGAUGCACUAGAGGUGUUUGUUGAAAUGUGUGUUAGAGCGAUGCCGCUUCAGUUCACCGAACACAACUACGAUAUGAGAUGCCCGAGCCACGCUUAAACCUCUUCCUCUUUAUUUCUACUUAUUCUAAAAGGUUAGCAACUAUAUUUCCUCGUUUAGACCGUGCGGUACUAAUUUUUAGGAUCGUGAUUGUAUUUGAUAUACUGUCGUAUAACGCAGAUGAGCCAUCCAUGGAUGUACGGUGAUCGACGCACAGCCGUUUACAGAGAAGGCGUGCAUUCUUUUCGAGAUGCAGCCGAUGCGAACAAGAAUGGUGGUGGCUAUAUGUUUUGUCCAUGUGUUGAAUGUCGGAAUGAGAAGGAUUACACUUCCUCAAGAGUCAUUCAGAGCCACCUGCUUCGGUCCGGUUUUAUGUCGGGCUAUAAUGUUUGGACCAAGCACGGAGAAAGAGGGGUUAUGAUGGAAGACGACGAUGAAGAAGAAGAGAACGAUGAUGACAAGUAUCGAUCUAUGUUCCCUGAGUAUGCUGAUACCGCAAUGGAAGACAAUGAAGAAGAAGAUCAGGAUGAAGAACGGGAACCAGAUGAGCUCGAUAAUGAUCUUGGCCGGGUCAUUUCUGAUGCACGGCGAGGUUGCGACACAGAAAAGGAGAGGUUGCAGUUCGAGCAGAUGUUACAGGACCAUAACAAAUUGUUGUACCCAACUUGUGAAGAUGGCCAGAAGAAGCUGGGUAGCACACUGGAAUUGCUGAAGUGGAAGGCAGAGACCGGUGUGACUGACUCGUCAUUCGAAAAGUUGCUGGUACUGAUGAAGAAGAUGCUUCCAAGAAAGAACGAAUUGCCCGCCAGCACGUACGAAGCAAAGAAGCUUGUCUGCCCUCUAGGAUUAGACGUGCAGAAGAUACAUGCAUGCCCUAAUGACUGCAUCCUCUACCGCGGUGAGAAGUACGAGAAUAUGGAUAAAUGCCCGGUAUGCACUGCAUUGCAGUAUAAGAUCAGAAAAGAUGACCCUGGUGAUAUUGAGGGCGAGCCACCCAGGAAGAGGGUUCCUGCCAAGGUGAUGUGGUAUGCUCCUAUAAUACCACGGUUGAAACGUCUGUUCAGAAAUAAAGAUCAUGCGAAGUUGUUGCGAUGGCACAUGGAAGAUCGUAUGAAAGACGAUAAGUUGAGGCACACCGCUGAUGGUCAGCAGUGGAGAAAAAUCGAGAGAGAGUUCCCGAGAUUUGCAGCUGACGCAAGGAACUUAUGGUUUGGUCUGAGUACAGAUGGCAUGAAUCCUUUUGGGGAGCAGAGUUGCAGUCACAUCACCUGGCCCGUUACUCUAUGUAUCUACAACCUUCCUCCUUGGUUGUGCAUGAAGCGGAAGUUCAUUAUGAUGCCAGUGCUUAUCCAAGGUCCAAAGCAACCCGGCAACGAUAUUGAUGUGUACCUAAGGCCAUUAGUUGAUGAACUUUUACAGCUGUGGGCCGAACUAGGUGUACGUGUGUGGGACGAGCACAAACAAGAGGAAUUUGACCUUCGAGCGUUGCUUUUCGUAACCAUCAAUGAUUGGCCUGCUCUUAGUAACAUUUCAGAACAGUCAAACAAGGGAUACAAUGCAUGCACGCACUGUUUGGAUCAGACAAAAAGUAUAUAUCUGGACAAAUGUAGGAAGAAUGUGUAUCCGUACAAUCAUCGUUUUCUUCCGCCCAAGCAUCCCUUAAAGAAAAAAGGCAAGCAUUUCAAUGGCAAGGCAGAACCCCGGGGGAAGCCUGUCAUCCGUACUGGUGCUGAAGUAUUUGAUAUGGUCAAAGUUUAAAAGUAAUCUUUGGAAAGGGUCCUGGCAGCCAACCUGUUCCUAACGGCCCUGAUAAGCGCGUUCCCAUGUGGAAGAAGAAAUCUAUAUUUUGGGAGCUACCCUACUGGGAAGUCCAUGAGGUCCGCUCGGCAAUCGACGUGAUGCACCUGACGAAGAAUCUCUCCGUGAAUACUAGGCUUUCUGGACUUGUAUGGGAAGUCAAAAGAUACACCGGAAGCACGGGAGGACCAGGAACGUCAUAAAGGAAGAGAUGGCAUGCAUCCAGGGCAGUUUCAAGGGCGUGCCAGCUACGCUCUUACUAAGGAAGAGAAGGAAAUCUUCUUUGAAGUCCUUUUCAGUAUCAAGGUCCCGAGUGGCUUCUCGUCGAAUAUAAAGGGAAUCGUAAAUAUGAAAGACAAAAAAUUACAAAACCUAAAGUCUCAUGACUGCCACGUGCUUAUGACGCAAUUGCUUCCGGUUGCAUUGAGGGGAAUUCUACCGGAAAAUGUUCGCCUGGCAAUUGUGAAGGUAUGUGCAUUCCUCAAUGCAAUUUCUCAGAAGGUAAUCGAUCGAGAAAGUCUAUCAGGGUUACAGAUUGAUGUGGUCCAAUGUCUGGUCAACUUUGAGUUGUUGUUCCCGCCAUCCUUCAUCAAUAUAAUGACACACCUCCUAGUUCACCUAGUCGAAGAGAUUAGAAUUCUCGGUCCUGUGUUUCUACACAAUAUGUUCCCCUUCGAGAGAUUCAUGGGAGUCUUAAACAAAUAUGUUCGUAACCGUGCUAGGCCAGAAGGAAGCAUCUCCAAGGGCUAUGGAACAGAGGAGGUCAUUGAGUUUUGUGUGGACUUUCUUCCAGACCUUAAGCCGAUUGGUGUUCCUGAAUCUCGGUAUGAGGGUAGGCUGACAGGAAAAGGCACACUAGGAAGGAAAGCAAAAGUAUGUAUGGACAGGCAUUCUUUCUCUCAAGCACACUACACAGUUCUACACAAUUCCACCGUGGUGGCUCCGUAUAUCGUGCGACUGUAAGUGCAUCUAGUGCCCCUUAGUGAUUUUGGUGGUUUGAAGACUUAUAGGUUAAGUAUCUAAUGCGUUUGUGAGUGUACACAGGAUCUAUAAGUCAUUGAGGAGUUUGAGAUAUUUGAAGAAUAUCGACCCCUAAAAAUAUAUGUCUUUAGUUGAAGAAGUUAGUCUGAAGCUGAAGAAAUGAAUCGCGAGGAAUCUGCGAUGAAAUUGAUAUUCCUCAUGAAGAUACUGAUAUUGAGAAGUCCGGUGGUUCCUCAAGAAAAUCAUUCUGAAGAAUUCGAAGCAUGAAGAUUUACACUUUCUGUUUUACUUUCUUCGCAUUUGAGUAAUAGGAACACCGUACUGUUAAAGGGGGGGUCGAAGUUACACUAUGGAAUGAAUUUCCCCAUGAUGCUCAACCCAAGCCUAAUCCUACCAAAGUCCUCAAGUGAGGAAUAUGAGUGACAUGAGGACUCUCACAGUUGAGGGUUCCGACCGUUUCGAUAACCACGCCAAGUCAUUGGUCUUAUCCACUCCAACGGUCAUAUUAUUUAAGGGCAUUAGUGUCAAAUCAUGUCGGGAUGCUCCCAGGCUAUAAAUAGCCACCCCCACAACCACUAGCUGGUUGGCUGCUCCGUUAGAAACUGACACUUGUCAUAAGAGCAACCCAAAUUCCUCAGAGCCUUCGAGAGUAAAUCAUCAGUGAGGAAAUACACCACCCACCGAAACCACAAACCAAACCUAGUGAUUGAGCAUCACUAAAGAAGUUGUUCCUGUGUGGGACUGAAGCCUUUUACCUUUGAGGACUGUGCAUCCUCUAGACGGUUAGGCGUCAUGGUCUAGAGCAAUCCAGCAGUCAAUUGUGGAUCGCCGGGUGACCAAGUUUGUGAGGGUUUGGAAGUCUGCCCUGAAGACUUACCACGAGUGUUGGGCGAGGACUGUGUGUCCUUAGCUGAAGGAGAAUACGGUAGGGACCGUGUGUCCCGGGACUGGGUGUCCUUUGGUUUCAAUACCAAGCCGCUCCAAACCAGAUGUACAACUGUCAGAGCAGUUGGAACUGGGUCAUCAACAACAGUCUUCACUGAGAAACGGGUUCUGAUUCCUCAACUCUUUACUUUUCUUGUAUUGUGUGUUGAUGACUUUCACUGUGACUGUUUGAAGAAUUUGCUGAAGACUUUCUCUGAAUUUCCUCAACCCCAAAUUCUUCACGAUAGUUAAUCUUCAUCUGUAUUCUGCGUGCCUGCUUACUGUGCAAUCUGUUUUCACAUUCUUCACUCUGAAAUACUGCUGUUGUGAAUGUUUGCACGUCUGAUCCUUUACUGUUCCCGCUGUAAGUUAGUCAUCAGUGAGGAAUUUCCUCAAAAGGAAUUUCCUGAGUGAUGAAAUUCUAAAAAUCUCCUAUUCACCCCCCUCUAGUCGAUAUAACGCACUUUCAAUUGGUAUCAGAGCAAGGUACUCCCUUGUUUUGUGUAAUUUUGGUUUAACCACCUGGAGUUUUAGUUAUGUCGACUGUAGGCAUGUUUAAGGUGACUGCAACAUGUCCUACCUACGAAGGAAAGAACUUUCCCUUCUGGAAGAACAAAAUGCAAAUGCAUUUACAAGCUAUUGAUAAUGAUCUUUGGUAUAUUGUGGAAAAUGGUGUCCCCAUUAUCUCUGCCAGUGUCACUGCGGCUGAUGUGAAGAAAUUCAAGCAACUCGAUUCUCAAGCGAAGAACAUCAUCCGUGGCCAUCUGAGCCCAGGACAGUUUCAAAGAGUAAGUGCUUUGGGCUCUGCAACACUGAUCUGGGAGAGACUGUGCAAGGUAAAUGAAGGAGUAUCAACCCAGCGUGACUCUCGUGUUGAUAUUCUUCGCAAUCUCUUCAAUCGCUUCAAGAGACAUGCCAAUGAAAGCUGCCAAGACACCUUUGAUCGCCUCACUGACAUAUCAAAUGAACUGCAAGCACUGGGAGCUCGAGACAUCACUGAUCACGAAGUUGUGAAGAAACCGCUGAGAUCUUUGGAUUCUUCAUUUGAUACUUUAGUUCUGAUGAUUCAAGAAAGACCAUAUUACAAGAUGCUUGAUCCAGCUGAUAUACUAGAAAGGCUAAAUACUCAUGAAUUUCAACUAGAAGAAAAGAGAGAUUCAUAUGGACCAAGCUAUUCCAGACCACGUGCACUGAAGGCUAGAGCAAUUUCCUCAUAUGAAGACGAAGACACAGAUGACAGUAUUUGUGACCCUGAAGAAUUUGGACAGGAGCUUGCAAUGCUCGUGAGGAAAUUCCAGAGAUUUACACGACGUGGUCAGUUCGGUAAAUCUUCAAGAAGAGACAUGAGGAAAUCAGAAUCUUCAUUUGAGGACUACAAGAAACGUACCUGUCACAAGUGCAAGAAAUCAGGUCAUUACAUUGCUGAUUGUCCCCGUUGGGGAAAGAAAUCAAAGAAGAAGAAAUACAAGGAUGACAGUUCUGAUGACUCGAAGAAGAAGAAGAAAUCUUCAAAAUCCUCAUCUUCAAAGCCCUCUUCGCACAAGAAGACUAGUUUCAGAAAGGCUCGGGCACUUAUUGGCAAGGAAAUGGAUUUCGAGGCAGAAUCAGAGGAAUGUGAUGAAGAAGAGGGCUCUGAUGAAGACUCAGAAUCCGGACAGGCUAGUCUUGCACUAGCAACCACUUUCGUCAGCAAGUCAAUCUUCAAUCUUGAAGAAAAUGAUUGCACAAUCCAUACUGAUGACUAUGUUGAUGACUUCGCUCCAACUAUUGCUUCAUGGAAAAAGGAUCAAAGGUAUCAAAUAAUGCCUCCUCCUCUGAUUCAAGUGACUGUGAGCCUAAUGAUUAUAAGAAACCCAGUUACAGUAAACUUGUUAUCAUUGCCACUAAACAACAAACUGCUCUGGAAAAGCUUCAGAAACUGCUAGACAAAAGUGAUGAUCUGUUGAAUGAUGAAAUGAACCUUACCCAAAUCCUCACUGAUGACAUGAAAAGUCUUCAGUCUAGAUUUGAUAAUCUUCAGGAUCAUUAUGAUACACUCCUCACUGAUCAUGAGAAGCUUUCCUAUGAAUUUCUUCAAAGGAAGCUUGAUCUUGAGAAGCUGAGGAUGUCUCAUGAUGAUCUUCGUAUGUAAAAUGAUUCAUUACUAGCUCAACAGAUCGGCGCUAGUCAAGUUGAAUUUAUUCCUCCAUGUCUUAAAUGCAUUGAACGCGAAACUGCUAAUUCCUCACCAGAAUCAUCAAAUGCUACCAUUGCUACAAAUUCUUCAACUGCACCUGUUGUGUCUAUUUCCUCACUUGAGGAAAACACAAAUGUUACUGAUGAAAAUGCAGGGUUGAAGGAAUUGUACGUGACAGGCAUGUACAAAAGCCUCAAAGGACAUCAAACCCUUUGUGAUGUGCUCAAAAAGCAGAUUUUGAACAGGAACCCGAGGAAAGAAGGAAUUGCCUUUGAGAGGAAAUUAAAUGCUGAUGGAUCUUAUUGAAAACCUGAGCAGUACCCCAAAACCUCACGGGUUGCUGCUACUGGGCCUCCUUUUGAUCCAUCUAAUCUAACUGGCUUUUCAUUUGAACUAUCCUAUUCCUCGGAUGAGUCACUUGAUUCCAACUAUAAACUGUUCAAAAAUCAAUCUGGUGAAGUAUUUGCUCGAUAUGUUGGAACUAACUGCAGGAAUGGCCCUCCACUGAGGAAAAUCUGGGUUCCCAAAAGCUGUCUUGAAAAUCUUCAGGUGAAUGUCCUCAUGACACCACCACUGAAGAAUCUGAACCCCAGAUCAAAUUCCUCAGGAGGACCAAAGUCUUCAAGAGGAUCAAAAUCCUCAACUGGUCAAAACUAUGCUCGUACCCGUGCUUAUGCGUCUAACAUGCAGGGAAUUACAAGGAAUAUGAAUAUGAACACUACUCCUCAAAUGAUUAUGUUCAUAAAUCCUCAAACCAGUUCUCUGCAUAUUCAUAUGAGUACUUUAAUCCCCCUACUGCUAAGAGUAGUGCAUUGGCUUCAAUGCCACCUUUCUCAUAUGGUGCUCGCAGGAUGAUGAACGCUUUGCCACCCCUUCAGAUGUGGGUGGUGAAGAAAUCAAACUAAUCACUUCUGCAGGACAGGUCUCCAGAUGAAAAUCAUCAUGUGAAGAAUUUGCCGGAGACCUGAGGAAAUGCUUGAUAGGACGCAAGCUAAUGAUUGAUGAAAUAGAGAUAUUUCACUCGUCCUUACAUUUCUGUUAUGAUGAAAUUACUCAUCUGAUGAAAUUAGUAUCAUAUUCUUCAAAUCUGAAACAUAUGAGAUGGUAAGCAGUACUAAUUCAUCUGCAGGAUGACAAACCCAAGAAUACUGAGUGGGUUCUUGAUAGUGGCUGCACACAUCACAUGACUGGUGAUAAAAGCUUACUGAUGAAUAUGCCACUAACUCCAUCACCUGUGAAGCAAAUCACAUAUGCUGACAAAGUCAUCAUGGAGUCAUCAUGGAAUCUGACAGAUCCAAAGUCUUCGAAGGUGUAAGAAGAGGGGAUUUGUACAUUGUUGAUUUCUCUACAGGUCCUCAACCAGCCACUUGCUUGCUAGCAAAAACCUCAGAAGGAUGGCUGUGGCACCGAAGACUAGGUCAUGCAGGCAUGAGGAAUUUGCACACGCUCGCGAAGAAGAAGCAUGCCAUAGGCAUCGAAUGAGUGAAAUUCCUCAAGGAUCAUCUCUGCGGUGAUUGUGAAUCUGGGAAAAUGACCAAAUCCAAGCAUCCCUCCAAAACCAUCAUGACCACUACACGUCCAUUCGAAUUGCUUCAUAUGGAUUUAUUUGGACCUACUCACUAUGCCACACUAACCAAUGCAGCAUCUCUAUAUGGCUUCGUCAUAGUUGAUGAUUAUUCCAGAUACACUUGGGUGCAUAUCAUAGUGUAUAAAACUGAAGUGCAGGAAAUCUUCAAACGAUUUUCUUCAAGGGCCUCGACGAACUUUGGCAUCAAGAUCAAACAUAUCAGGAGUGAUAAUGGAACCGAGUUCAAAAACACUGGUCUUGAUGAUUAUCUUGAUGAACUUGGUAUUACUCACGAAUUGUCUGCUCCUUAUACUCCUCAGCAGAAUGGUGUCCUCGAAAGGAAGAACAUGACUCUGGUUGAAAUGGCGAGAACCAUGCUUGAAGAAGAUCAAACUCCUCGACGCUUUUGGCCUGAAGCAAUCAACACUGCAUGCCAUAUCAUCAACAGGGUAUAUCUUCACAAAUUCCUCAAGAAUACCUCAUAUGAACUCCUCACUGACAAGAAACCCAAUGUAAGUUAUUUCAAAGUCUUCGGUGCAAAAUGCUGGAUUAGAGAUCCUCACCAUAGCUCAAAAUUUGCACCUAAGGCACAUGAAGGUUUUAUGCUCGGUUAUGGAAAGGACUCGCACACUUACAGAGUCUUCAACAACUAUCACAACAAAGUUGUUGAGACUGUAGAUGUGCGGUUCGAUGAAACUAAUGGCUCGCAAAGAGAGCAAUUGCCUUCUAAUCCAAAUGAAGGAUGUCGCUCCUGAGGAACACAUUGAUGAGGAAAUUCAGAUUGAUGACAGUCCUAAACCUCAUAUUCCUCAGACAGAAACUGCUCAAGCAUCAGUUGCACCAGCUGAUGAAACUGCUUCUGCCACAUAACCAGCUGAGGAAAAACAAGCUGAAAAUCCUCAAGCUGAAGAAAUCCAAAACUCUGAGCAAAAUCCUCAAGAUGAGGAACAGGCUGAUCAGACUCCUCCAACUGAGAAAGAAGCAGAAAUUCCUCAGUCUGAAGCUCAGUCAGAGAAAGCACCAUCUCCUCAACAUGAAGUACCAGCUGAUGAAAUUCCUCACCUUGAGGAAAAUGCUGAAGAAAAUGCACCCGCCCAAGACAACGCACUCGUUGUGCUCAACCCAGAGACUGCUAUUGUUGUUUCCCCCCUAUUCAUCAGUAAAAUCUUCAGCCAGUUCAGCGUCAGCCAUUCUCCAAGCGUCCAAAGUUUCAGAAAGAAAUUGAAGAAACUGCUCCUCUGGACCCGGUGCCUCUCAAUGUCGCCCCUUCCUAUGAGAUGGUCGUCAUUGAUGACCCAGCUAUGAAGGAAGAUGAGGAAAUGAAGGAUGUCGAUCCUGAGGAACACACUGAUGAGGAAAUUCAGAUUAACGUCAGUCCUAAACCUCAUAUUCCUCAGACAGAAACUGCUCAAGCAUCAGUUGCACCAGCUGAUGAAACUGCUUCUGCCACAGAACCAACUGAGGAAACACAAGCUGAAAAUCCUCAAGCUGAAGAAAUCCAAAACUCUGAGCAAAAUCCUCAAGAUGAGGAACAGGCUGAUCAGACUCCUCCAACUGAGAAAGAAGCAGAGAUUCCUCAGCCCGAAGCUCAGUCAGAGAAAUCACCAUCUCCUAAGCAUGAAGUACCAGCUGAUGAAAUUCCUCACCUUGAGGAAAAUGAUGAAGAAGAUGUUGUAGGCCUCAUGAAGAAUAUCCUCUUGAACAUCAUUCACAGUAUUCCUAUCAAUAUCCAUGAUUUCUUCUUGAGGACUUUGGCCGACAAUGCCAUGUGUCCCUUUGAUCACAAGAUAUAUGCCCCGUGGAUCAUGAGAUUCAUCAGGACAAGGACAUGCAUCAACUUGCACGCUGAUUGUCAAAACCAUGUUGGUUAUAUGCCUCGUAUUCGGGUAAACAAGAAGACUUUCGAGCCCAUUGAAGGAAAAGGAAAAUCUGUGAUUGAAGAAGGCAGCAGGCCCCUUGAUGGCCAGUUCAGAGAGCCAGAAGCAUAUUCUUCAUGGGACGAUACUGAGACUCGUCCAGCAAGCCCAGUUCCUCCUCGCGUGCUGAAUACCAGAGAGCUCCUCCUCAGUCUUCACCAGAAGGUGGAUCGCAACCACAAAUGGGUCAAACGCCAGUUUGGUGCCAUUGUGAAAACCCUCACUGAAACACAGAACUCUGUGAAGAUUAACCAUCACUAUCUGCAUGAGGUUUUCGAUCGCACUUGGGCUACACUUGCACAUCUUAAGACUCAGACUGAGCUUGAAGAAAUGGACUUUGAGCGAGACUUUGACUGGUCGUGGCCUCCCAAGAAGAAGUUCAGGCCCAUUCCAGUGCCAGACCUUGAAGACAGCUCCUUUUCUUCAUUCCGCACUGCUGAAUCUGAUGAAGAACAGCUCGACACUGCAACCGGCCCGAGGAAGGAAGACUACUUCCAAUAGUCAUCACGGCUCUUCCUCGACCGCCAAGAAAUGAAGUCUUCACGGGCGUUAGUCCUCAGUUUGUCCCUUUUUGUCACUUGAUGACAAAGGGGGAGAAACUCGAGAGUUAGUCUUCAAGCGGGAUAUUUUUGGGGCUUAUAAACUAUAUUUAAGUUACAAACUCUUGGCUCUUCUGAAGUUUUUAUGUAAUGAGUUGUAACUUAAGUCCGAUGGUACUCUGACGCUUUUGAACGUUUUUCUUCGCAUGCUUAUUCCUCAAGUUUUAAUGCACGCAUGCUGAAAUUCGUCAGAUACCAUUUUCCAUCAUGCAUCUUCAUUUUAUUCAUAUGAUAUGUUAUAUGUAUGCAUGAUUUACAAGAAUCAGGGGGAGAUCUCCAUGAUAUAAAUCAUCAAUGUGCAUUUGCUGUGAAAAGCAAAAUCCUCAAGAUAUGCACAUCUUCAGGGGGAGUCUCUCUGAAUCUUGUUUUCAAAUUCCUCAAAUGAGUAUUUACACUUCAUAUUUUUAUUCCCUGUUGAAGACUUAACCUAAUUGUCAUCAACCACCAAAAAGGGGGAGAUUGUAAGUGCAUCUAGUGCCCCUUAGUGAUUUUGGUAGUUUGAAGACUUAUAGGUUAAGUAUCUAAUGUGUUUGUGAGUGUACACAGGAUCUAUAAGUCAUUGAGGAGUUUGAGAUAUUUGAAGAAUAUCGACGCCUAAAAAUAUAUGUCUUCAGUUGAAGAAGUUGGUGUGAAGCUGAAGAAAUGAAUUGCGAGGAAUCUGCGAUGAAAUUGAUAUUCCUCAUGAAGAUACUGAUAUUGAGAAGUCCGGUGGUUACUGAAGAAAAUUAUUCUGAAGAAUUUGAAGCAUGAAGAUUUACACUUUCUGUUUUAGUUUCUUCGCAUUUGAGUAAUAGGAACACCGUACUAUUAAAGGGGGUCGAAGUUACGCUAUGGAAUGAAUUUCCUCAUGAUGCUCAACCCAAGCCUAAUCCUACCAAAAUCCUCAAGUGAGGAAUACGAGUGACAUGAGGACUCUCACAGUUGAGGGUUCCGACCGUUUCGAUAACCACGCCAAGUCAUUGGUCUUAUCCACUCCAAUGGUCAUAUUAUUUAAGGGCAUUAGUGUCAAAUCAUGUCGGGAUGCUCCUAGGCUAUAAAUAGCCACCCCCCACAACCACUAGCUGGUUGGCUGCUCCGUUAGAAACUGACACUUGUCAUAAGAGCAAGCCAAAUUCCUCAGAGCCUUCGAGAGUAAAUCAUCAGUGAGGAAAUACACCAUCCACCGAAACCACAAACCAAACCUAGUGAUUGAGCAUCACUGAAGAAGUUGUUCCUGUGUGGGACUGAAGCCUUUUACCUUUGAGGACUGUGCAUCCUCCAGACGGUUAGGCGUCAUGGUCUAGAGCAAUCCAGCAGUCAAUUGUGGAUCGCCGGGUGACCAAGUUUGUGAGGGUUUGGAAGUCUGACCUGAAGACUUACCACGAGUGUUGGGCGAGGACUGUGUGUCCUUAGCUGAAGGAGAAUACGGUAGGGACCGUGUGUCCCGGGACUGGGUGUCCUUUGGUUUCAAUACCAAGCCGCUCCAAACCAGAUGUACAACUGUCACAGCAGUUGGAACUGGGUCAUUAACAACAGUCUUCACUGAGAAACGGGUUCUAAUUCCUCAACUCUUUACUUUUCUUGUAUUGUGUGUUGAUGACUUUCACUGUGACUGUUUGAAGAAUUUGCUGAAGACUUUCUCUGAAUUUCCUCAACCCCAAAUUCUUCACAAUAGUUAAUCUUCAUCUGUAUUCUGCGUGCCUGCUUACUGUGCAAUCUGUUUUCACAUUCUUCACUCUGAAAUACUGCUGUUGUGAACGUUUGCACGUCUGAUCCUUUACUGUUCCCGCUGUAAGUUAGUCAUUAGUGAGGAAUUUCCUCAAAAGGAAUUUCCUCAGUGAUGAAAUUCGAAAAAUCUCCUAUUCACCCUCCCUCUAGUCGAUAUAACGCACUUUCAGAGAAACAAGAAUAUUCUACGCUCCAAAAACCCGGGGAAGGCUGAUUCUUGGAUUAAAGGGGAACACGAGAAGACUUUCGGCAGUUGGUUGCAGACACAUCUCAUGAAUGACGACACCGUUGGAGAUCAGCUGUACUGUUUGGCCAGGCCACCAUCCUCGACUAUAUGUACUUUCCAAGGGUAUGAGAUAAAUGGGAAUACAUUUUACACGGUUGCCCAAGAUAAAAAGAGCACCAACCAAAAUAGUGGUGUCCGCUUUGAUGCAACAGACGAGAAUGGGCACUUUUUGGAAACAUAUUACGCGUACAUAGAGGAGAUAUGUGAACUUGACUAUGGACCUACUUUUAAGAUCCCUUUGUUUCGGUGCAAAUGGGUGAAGCUCACAGGAGGCGGGGUAGUUGUAGACCAAAAGUACGGCAUGACAACAAUGGAUCUCAACAAUCUUGCGUACAUGGACGAACCAUUUGUCCUAGCCAAUGAUGUCGCUCAGGUUUUCUAUGUGAAGGACAUGUCUACAAAAAAGAGAAAAAGAAAUCAGCAAAAGAAGAUAUCGUCCGAUGAGCCAAAACGCCACAUAGUUCUUUCAGGGAAAAGAAACAUCGUGGGAGUAGAUGACAAGACAGACAUGUCAGUAGAUUAUAAUAAGUUUAAUGAAAUUCCGCCCUUCAAAGUGAAAACUGACCCAAGCAUCCUACUGAAUGAUGAAGAUUCUCCGUGGCUACGACCCAGAAGAAAACAGAAAUAAUAGAUAGGAAUAUUGGUGCAAUAAUGUAAUAAUGUAUUAAACCUUUUAUGUAAUGCAUGUAUGGAAUGUACUAAACCUUUUAGUUUUGAAUUAUUUAUUCAAUUUCAAACACUUUUCAUUUUCAUAGUUUUGUCAAAUUCUCAAAUAUGCAAAAAGAAUUUUAAUAAACAUAGUUUUUAAUUGAAAAUAACAAAAUAGUUAAUAGUUUGGAUAGUCAAAAUAAUUAAUUUUGAAAAUAGAAAAUAGUUUUGAAUUAUUUAUUCAAUUUCAAACACUUUUCAUUUUCAUAGUUUUGUCAAAUUCUCAAAUAUGCAAAAAGAAAUUUUAAUAAACAUAGUUUUUAAUUGAAAAUAACAAAAUAGUUAAUAGUUUGGAUAGUCAAAAUAAUUAAUUUUGAAAAUAGAAAAAAAUUGAAACUAUAUGAGAAUUUAUAGAGAAAAUUCAACCUAAAUUCAAAGUGACCUCACUUUGAAUUCAGGUUGAAUUUUCUCCAUAAUUUCGAAUAUAGUUUCAAUGUUUAAAUUUACAGUGUGUUUAGGCCCGUAAGCCUGCUUUAGAGAGGAGCUCGAUGGAGAUGCUGCGACGGGGCUUAUAAACUAGUGUCAGUGCCCCUCGCUGGGCGAGGUGGGACUAAACUUAUCGUGCAGCCAGCGAAGGGGCUUUAGUCCCGGGUGGAGCCACGACCCGGGACUAAAGCCCCUCGCCUGCCGCCUGCUGAAAAGGGGUCUUUAGCCCCAGGUCGUGGCUAGACCCAAGACUAAAGGGUGUCUUUAGUCCCGGCUCGAGCCCCGACCCGGGACUAAAGGCCCAUGCUUCCCGCCUUUCGGUCUGCUGAAAAAGGGUCUUUAGUCUCGGGUCGUGGCUCCACCCGGGACUAAAGGGUGUCUUUAGUCCCGGUUCGAGCCCCGAACCGGGACUAAAGAUCCUACUAUAUAUACGGCGCGGACAAAAAUCCAUUUCGUUCUCUUCUUCCUCUCGCUCGCCUCUCCUGCCCGGCGCGGCAACGGACGAACUCCUCGACGCCGCCAGGCUGCCCGCCGUCGCCCUGCCGUCCUCCUCGCCGGCCUCCUCGCCGUCCUCCUCGCCGGCCUCCUCGUCGCCCUGCCGUCCUCCUCGCCGUCCUCCUCGCCGGCGCCGUCACCCUUCCCACUCCGGUAAGCCCCCCGCCCCCUCCUCCCCAUGUCGAACACGUACGAAGGAAAAGAAAAGAAGAAAAUGGAGAAGAAAAGAAGAAAAAGGAGAAGAAAAGAAGAAAAGAAGAAAAUAUUUUUUUUGUCAUUUAAUUCCUAUUGUUAUUAGGUUUGUGCUAGAUUAUUAGGGUUAGUAAUAUUUAGAAUUAGGUUAGGGUUACAAGAAGAAGAAAGAUGAACAAAAAUAAGAAAAUAAGAUUAGGAAAAAGGAAAAUAAGAAGAGGAGGAGAAGAAAAGAUGACGCCACCGCCGCCGUCGUGCCGGUGAGGAGGAGAAGUAGAAGAAUAGGAGGAGGAGAAGUAGAAGAAUAGGAGGAGGAGUAGAAGAAGAGGGGAAGAAAAGGAAGAAGAAGAGGAGGAGAAGAUGAUUUUUUUUGUCAUUUAAUUCCUAUUGUUAUUAGGUUUGUGCUAGAUUAUUAGGGUUAGUAAUAUUUAGAAUUAGGUUAGGGUUACAAGAAGAAGAAAGAUGAAAACAAAUAAGAAAAUAAGAUUAGGAAAAAGGAAAAUAAGAAGAGGAGGAGAAGAAAAGUAGUAGUAGUAUGAUAUACUUCUAUUUUCAAUACAUUUAUGAUGCUAGAUCAUUAUUUUGAUUAUAUAUAUUCUAUUCUCGUAAAGUGCGACCAGCAGCCAUGGGGGACGCAUCUAUGCGGAUACUAUGUUUGCGAGACCAUUCGCACGUUUACCUCUGAGCACAAGGAUCACAGAUACGACGUAAGUAAUGAACAUUCACACCUCUAUUUUUACCCGUCAUUCUUUGUUAUCAUGAUUGAUAUUCAUAUUCAUUUCCUCUUCUUAUAUAGUACACGACCAUGAGGGAGAAGGUCCUACCAGAGCAACACGCGAUUGCUGUUGCAGAGGAGCUUGCGACCUUUGUGAGGACGGAAGCUAUAGAUGACAAAGGACGAUUUAGUGUAGCUAGGGGCCAUUACUGAUGUUGGUCCAUGUAAUCGAAUAGACGGGCUCUAGUCCCGAUAAUUUAGAUCUCCAUAUAAUUGUAUAUAUAUGCUCGCUUGUAAGAUAAGUUAAUCUUAUAAAUAUAUGCAUAAACAUGUAUAUUUAGAAUUAUAUGAAAACUAAUUCCCGAACACCAAAUGAGGCAUCACGUUAAUCUCCCGAACACCUAAACCCUAAAACCCUAAAACCCUAAAAUAAACAAAAUCUGCAGAAACUCUUUAGUCCCGGUCCGUGUUAAGACCCGGGACUAAAGGGCCUGCCCCUGAGGGCGCUCCGAGGCGCCCACGUGUAGCACCUUUGGUCCCGGCUUGGAACAGGGCCGGGACUAAAGGUUAGGCCUUUAGUCCCGCCCCUUUGGUCCCGGUUGGUGAACCGGGACUAAAGCCCCUUACGGGCCGGGACUAUAGGCCCCGUCCCCACUAGUGCUCGCGCUGCUCCAAUGGAUUGUAUACCAAAGAAGAAAUUGAUCCCUCCAUUUGAAGGCGCCGCGCCACGGCCCGGAUGGUGCGCUUCGGUCAUUCCUCCUUCAGUUCCAUCCAAACAUAGAUAGAUAGAUCUAGAUAAAAAAGAUAGAUAGAUGGUGUAACCAACCGGGACUAAAGUCCCCAAGCCCCCCGGCGUGGGCUCGUGCCACGUGGUGGGCAUUCGGUCCCGGUUCAUGACGAACCGACACUAAAGGGGGGGGGGGCUUUAGUCCCCACCCUUUAGUGCCGAUUGCAAAACCAACACUAAAGGUCCUUACAAACCGGGACUAUUGCCUGAUUCUGCUCUAGUGCACCUAUACCCAGCAAACUAGGGGGGGGGAGGAGGGAGGACACGACUCCGGGACAAUCAUCGGCCGCCGACGAGCCUUCCCAAAGCCCAUGGCCACGCGAGCUCACACGACGCACCGAUCCAUGCACCGACGCACUUGUAUCACAACCACCACCAUCGAGCACCGUACCCGUGAAGGGAGCCUGAGCAUCCUUGCGAGCACAUCCUGGGUCAAUCCCAACCUCUCCUACCCGAAGCAAAAGCUUUGAACCGCCUCAGACCCCAAUCUGAUCCACCCGAGCACGAACCCUGGAUCUGGACCAUCCUAAAACGUGUGCAUCCGGCACCACCGGCGCCCGCCCAGCCUCGCACAUCGUAGGAACAGAUCCAAGAGAAGGAGGCUGACACCGCAACCCCGCGUCGGCCGAAGAAGCCUAGCCACCGCGCCACCACACCCACACUAGGCACGCUCCACCGCCCAGUCCAAUUGCUGCCGAGGGCAAGCCUCCCGUGAACGGAUUAUCAAUGACCCUCCAAGCCCCUUUUUUGCCAAUGAAGCCGAAUUAAAGGAGAUGUUCCUAAAUCCCAUUUUUGAAAUGCAUAAUUUUUAUCAUGCGGACCAGUGCAUCCUUUUGUGAGUUGAAUCAUCAACCCAUCAAAAAACGAGAUAUUACAUUCGUGAUUCCUUUACAGUUUUUUCGUCGUACUAGUGUGAUUUUAUUUCUAAAAAUGUCGUGUUUUUUUUUUUAAACGAACAGAGAGCGAGAAGCGUUGUGUUGUGGACGAUUGGACGUACUGUAUUUCCUAGGCCACGGCCCAAUAGCCCAUCUGGCGGGGAAAGCCGAGCACGGCGACGGCGUGAGGCAUCCUUGAAAUACUCCGGCUUGGCGCCCGACGUAACCGUCUCAACCAACAGCUUUCACUUCUCCCCGUCGCCGGAGCUCCAAGAAACCAAGAACCCAUCCUCCCCACCUCUUUCCACCGAGCAGCACCAGCGCUCCGGCGUCGGCAAGCGAUGGACCGGUUUCAGGACGGCAAGCACGUGCGGCUGCGGAGCCGCGUGCACGGCACGUACCUGCACGCCAACAAGAACGGCCAUGGCGUCUCCCUCCAUCGGCGCCGCGCGUCGAUGCACGCGGCAUGGUCAGUGCACAUCUGCCACCGCGACGGCCCGCAGCUGCUCUUCCACAGCGCCGCCCACAGCAGCUAUUCGCCGCCACGGACGCGCGGGCGCCGCCGGGCAACCGCGGGUGCCGCGCUGUGCAGCGUGACUACACCGUCGGGAGCUGGAGGCCGUCAGGUGGCAUGCCCGUUUGGGCAGACUCCGGGAACUACGUCGUGCUCCGCGACGUCGCUGGCCGCUGCCUCCGCGCCAACAAGAGGCGCCUCGGCCGGAGCAAUGGCGUCAGCGUCGACGACAUCGACGACAUCAACAAAGUCAGCACGAUGAUGCACUGGUCCGUGGAGAUCAUCCCAGCCAGGGAGGGCAUGCCUCCCCUUCCACGCCCGAUCGGGGUGAGUCCGGCAUGCCCGCUUCUUGAUUCUGCCCGAAUUUGCGCGAAUUGGGUUCUUGGAUGUUGUUCUCCAUGUCUGCAAUUUGUUGCUCUGUUUCUUUGGCUUCUUGCGCCACCGCAUCUACAAUUCUUGAUCGCAUUUGAUCUCAACUGCAGCUUCCCUACCCCGGAAUACUCGACGCCCUGAUGCCGUCGCGCAUGAUCCUGUACGUGCGGGAGGGCGCCGAUGGGAGCCGCGUCACCCGUGGCUCGUUCGUGUUCAGGGGCAGGUCCGUGUUCGGCCUGAGGAAGAAGCUUGUCCGCCGGCUGCGUGCCAUCAUGGACGUCUCCAAACUCGUCGUGUGCGUCGAAGCUGGUACUCUGGGGCAGCUUACCCCACUCGUCGUCGACCUGCCCCGCAGCCACCAGAACCUCCGCAUCGUCGUCAUCGAGGCCGGGACGCCAGGUGAGAGUCCCCAACUUCUUACUUGUCUUCGGUAAUGUCUGCGUUUACUGAAACUGUUACAGUCUGAAAAACAGUUUACUGAAACUGCUGCUGAUCUGCUUCAGUUAGAACCGUAGUAUUUCAAUUAUGGCCUAAUCUUCCCGAGUAAUCUGAACUCUCAUGCUUAGUUGAUCGUUACAUAUUCACUCUUGGAACUUGUAAAGCCAAAUCAGUUCAGCUUCACAUAGAAGAUACUGAUAUCUAUACUUUUCGAUAAAGGGCGUUUAUAUUAUAUCAAAAUGUAGCAUCAGACGGAUACAAAACAUUAUGAGGAACACCCGGGCCUGCUGCUAUCUAUAUGAUUUAGCCAUUUAUAAUUCAGAAAGAAAAUUCAAGUUCCCACAAACACUACCUCAAAGAAAUUAGUUUGUUUCUGCAUGCACAUUACAUUGCUUUCAGGUUUUGUACAUCAAUUGUUUUCUCGAUCUCGUCACUUGACCUGUUUUAGCAAUAUCAGAUUAUUGAUGACAUGAUGCCUAACCUUACCUCCUCGCUGUUCCUUCUCAAUUCUAUUCAGCCCACGCGGAUUUGCGGUGCCCAGAUGUGUAGAGAAAGACCAGAGCAGGACACCUGACUGUCGCUUCACAGUUCACUUCUUCAGAGUGCCGCCGCCUCCGUCACGACGGCAUGUGAAUCCACUACUGCCUGCACUUAUUAGACAGGGGUUCAGGAAGACCCAGCAUUUCUUGUGUUCCAGUUAGCUAGUUAAACUUGCGUUGGCCUCACGGUUCUACGAGUAGUAAUCAGAAACUGUUUGAGCAAUGAUGCAGUGAUCGUUAUUCAAAUCUGCCAACUGCAUUUCUCUUAUAUGAAGCAUCCUACACAUAUGAGUUGACCACUUGAGUUUAGCUGUGACGCUUAAAGUUUCAGUCCUAUAGCAGAAAAUGAGUUUCUGUCUUGACUGACAACUCUCAACUAGUCAACCUGCUGCAUUUUCCUGCGCGCUUAGUGCAUCAGCAGUGUUUUAGAUCGCAAGCAGUCCCAAGGCUGAGAAGAGUUUGCAGUACGACAGAUGGCUGUCAGAAGGCAAAUGCAAGCGACAUCAAACACAAAUCUUGCGCAAGGUCUGCAAGAUUUCGAACAGAACAAAGCUGAACAACGCAGUCUGCUUCCACAAAGGACAGCACACAUGUAUUCUGAAACAAAAUUCAUAGAAUUAAAAAGUACUAAUAUUUUUUAGACAUGUUAAUCUAAUUUAAAAAAUUAUUUUUGUAUUUUAAAAAUCAUGUAUUUUAAGAUGUGCUCAUGGUUUUGAAAAAUAUUUGUGUAAUUCUAUAAGUGUCAAGACAUUUAGUUGUAAAAGAAAUAUUAAUCCCUUUAAAAAAUCGAAUAAUUUAAGAAGUGCUCUUUCAUUUUUAUAAAUAAUUUUCAUAUGGCUGUAAAAAAUGUUGUGCAAUUUUAAAGUGUUCAAGCAUUUAGAAAGGGUCAUCUAUUUAAAAAAGGCUCAGGCAUUUUACGUUCUUGUAGUUUUCUAAUUACGUUCCCGGCCUUUAAACAAAUCGCGUAGCUUCCAAAAUGCGUUCACACAUUUCAAGAAAACAUUAUUGUAAUUUAAAAAGAUAGUUUUGCACCGUGAAAGUCUGCUCAACCUGGAGAGUCGCCAUAGUUGGUCUUGGGAUCGCAGUCACCACUGUUUUUGUUGUUUUUGCUGUAAGUAUGUAACAAGUAACUGAUGAUACACAUUGAAACGGAUGAAGGGGAAGUAUGUAACAACCUCGAGAGUAGUUGAUGGUUUUGUUGUGUUUGCUGUAAGUAUGUAACAACCUUUUAAACAGUUACUGUUGUGGGGGGUGAUCUACGGAGGGUUUGUGAUCAGUGUACUUCUUCGACCAACUCAGCAGUAAGAGGAGCAUCUGGUCGGCGCGGCGCGUGUUGUACACAUAAGGCCAUGGCGUUAGUAAAUACGUUUAACUAUUCCAUCGCUUGAACGGAUUAGUGAAGUGGGUGAAGACUACUCAUAAAACAUGUAACAUGAAUUGGACAAUUGACAAAGUGCAUGUUUCAUCAAGAAUCACAAUGUAUGUUCAACUCACAACUAGUCUCCAGAAUCCAAACGUCAAAUGAUGAGGAGACGAACCCUAGGGAUAGGAAAAUGAGGUUCAAUUAAUUAGACAUAAUCUUUAUCUAGAGCUACUUACUGCAAAUAUGAAAUAAGCACAUACAACAUAGAUAUAUCUAGAUAUAAGAACAAUACAACUCUCAAGAUCUUGUUCCCCCCAAAAAAGACCAUAACAUCUUGGCAUCAAGUUUGUAGGUCCAUGCUCACAUGCAUUUUUCCAGGGGUGAAACUAUUACAAAUUACAAAUUACAAGGGCACCCUAGGUCAUAGGAGAAGUAUUCCCUCCAAGGCGAGACACCAACUUACCGCUAGGUCGGUACUGUAUCAGUUGAAUCCUAUGUAGGUUAACAUAAUCUUAUCAUUUCCCAAAUAUUCCUUUCUUCUUUGGAAAGUUUGGGAAAAAAGAUCUAAAGAUAACAAUUUUUAUUUCUACCAGGCACGAUGUCAUGUACCUGAUGAUGCAAUUCUAAGAAAAUUAUCUAAUUGAAUAACCUUCACAUGGGACUCUAUCAGCAUGUUGAGCAUCUUAAGCUGAAUGUCUACAUGGCAUGGCAGUGAAAUACAAAUAACUGUCAAAUCAAAAGGUUUGGUUGAGUUCAUAAAAUUCUUUUAAAAUAGCUUGAGAGGAAAGCGCUACUCAGCAUGACUACAAAAGCAAUGGCAAAAGAGGAGGCUAGGAAUAUGACCACUCACAUGAGGAGUUCCUCACGACAGUCAAAACCGUGCCAAUCAAUUUUACUUUGUCUCUCUCUCUCUCUCCUCCUUUCUCUCUUUCACGUUACAAAAAUGUAGGUGAUAGUACCAUGUUUGCGUUAUGCUACCCUGUUUAGCUUUUAUAAUAUAGUAUGCAUUUCCAUUAUUUUCUGUAAACUACAAUGUUCCACUAAUUAAAUGAAUGAUGUUAUUUGUUUAUACACUUAUCGUGGCCAUGAAGAGUGGGCAUCUUAUUCCUAUCCAGGUAUUUUCUCUUGCGAACUUUUGGUGCUCAUCUUUAUUUUAUUUUUGAAAAAGAGGAAACGAGCCCCCGGCCUCUACAUCAAUCGAUGCAUGCAGCCAUAUUAUUAAUAAUAAACGUAAAGUAUGUGAUGUCCACAAAUCUCUGAAUCUGAGUACAAAAAUUAAACAAAUAAAUUGCCCAUCCGGCUCAACUGAUAACAGACUACGAUGCCUAUACACCUAGGCUAUUAUUAGCACGCCAUCCAAAUCUGUUGAAGAUAACCCGAGCGGCCGUCUUCCAUCGGUUGCACCCAAUAUCCAUAAGAUCCCUGGAGUCCACAUGACUGAGUAACGACCACAUACGGAUCCAGGACGUUGCUCUGAAAAUAACCUGCAAAAAGUUGUUGAAAUUCUUGUCAUUAAAAAUCAUGUCAUUCCUAGCAUUCCAUAUAGCCCAACAUAACGCACAUACUCCAAUUCUAAUAAGUUUCGAUAUUCUGCCGUCGACUCCAUUGAGCCACGUUGUGAAUAACGAAUUCAUACAUGUAGGUGGAGAUAUAUUAAAAGCUAUGUGUAGUGUGCACCAAAGAAGUUUUGCAAGUGGACAUUCUAAGAAAAGAUGUUUAAUCGUCUCAUUUUGCUCACAAAAACAACAAUUCACCCUGCCUCUCCAUCUUCAUUUUUUUAAAUUAUCUUUGGUUAAUACCACACCCUUGUGUAUGAACCACAUGAAAACUUUAAUCCUUAGGGGCACCUUGAUUUUCCAUAUAUGUAGCGAUCUAGAUAUUAGUGCAUUAUUAAUGAGAUCCGUGUACAUAGAUUUAACUGAGAAUACUCCGUUGGAAGCCAAAGUCCAACGAAUAGUAUCUCUUUGGUUAGAUAGUUGAAUCUGCAUUAACCUUCUGACCAGAUGUAGCCAUGUGUUCCACCGUGGUCCAACUAAAGCUCUCCUAAAUUGUAUGUUAAGAGGUAUGGAUUGAAGUACUGUGGCAACAUAAUCCUCUUUUCGUUGGACAAUGUUAUAUAGAGUUGGAUAUUGAAGAGCUAGGGGAGUGUCUCCCAACCAAGUAUCCUCCCAAAACCUUGUUGAUGCACCACCCCCAACUACAAAUCUUACCCGCUGGAAAAAGGUCACCUUUACCUUCAUUAGACCUUUCCAGAAAGGAGAAUCCUUUGGUCUAACUUUAACCUAUGCUAAAGUUUUUGAAUGUAAGUAUUUAUUUUUAAGUAUUUGAAACCACAUUCCUUCAGUUUCCGUAGAUAGCCUAAAAAGCCAUUUGCUGAGAAGGCAUCUGUUCUUGACUUCUAAGUUUUCAAUACCCAUACCCCCUGUUCUUUAGGUCUACAUAUAAUAUCCCAACGUGUCAGUCUGUAUUUCUUCCUGACCUCAUCGCUUUGCCAGAAGAACCGAGACCUAUAAAAAUCUAGUCUUUUUCGAACCCCUACUGGUAUUUCAAAAAAAGACAAGAGAUACAUGGGUAGGCUAGUUAACACCGAAUUUAUUAAUACUAGCCUUCCUUCAUAUGACAUAAGCUUGCCCUUCCAACAACUUAGUUUUUUUUCAAAUCUAUCUUCAAUACAUUUCCACUCCUUAUUCGUCAGUCGCCUAUGAUGAAUAGGGAUCCCAAGAUAGCUAAAUGGUCGUGAUCCCAUUUCACAUCCAAAAAGCUGUCUAUAAGCGUCUUGUUCCUCUUUUGCCUUUCCAAAGCAAAAUAGUUCAUUUUUGUUGAAAUUUAUUUUUAAUCCUGAUAAUUGUUCAAAAAGACAUAAUAAUAGUUUCAUGUUCCUUGCUUUGGCCAUAUCGUGCUCCAUGAAAAUAAUUGUAUCAUCCGCGUAUUGUAAAAUAGACACCCCUCCUUCUACAAGAUUUGGUAUGAGGCCUCCAACUUGGCCUUUUUCUUUGGCUCUUUGUAUUAAUAUUGUUAACAUGUCUGCAACUAUGUUAAACAACACUGGGGAUAAUGAAUCACCUUGCCUGAGUCCCUUAUGUGUUUGGAAAAAAUGACCUAUGUCAUCAUUAACUUUAACACCUACACUCCCUUUUUGGAUGAAAUUAUCGACCUGAUUUCUCCAUGCAUCAUUGAAUCCUUUCAUACGUAAGGUCUGUUGGAGAAAAGACCAUUUUACUUUAUCAUAUGCUUUCUCGAAAUCCACUUUAAAUAUAACCCCAUCUAGUUUCUUUGUAUGGAUUUCAUGCAAUGUCUCAUGCAGGACCACAACACCCUCCAAGAUAUGUCUCCCAGGCAUGAACGCAGUCUGCGUCGGUUGGACUACAGAAUUAGCAAUCUUUGUUAAUCUGUUUGUACCAACUUUUUUAAAUAUCUUGAAACUCACAUUGAGCAGACAUAUCGGUCUAAACUGUUCAAUUCGAAUAGCUUCCACCUUUUUUGGCAACAAUGUAAUUGUUCCAAAGUUGAGAUGAAAUAAUUGCAAGUGACCAUUAAAUAAAUCAUGAAACAUACGCAUCAAGUCACUCUUAAUAAUGUACCAACACUUCUUAUAAAACUCUGUAGGGAACCCAUCUGGUCCCGGUGCUUUUUUGUGUGAUUGAGUCAUAUACUUCUUUCUCUGUAAAUGGAGCUGAUAGCACUUCAUUUUCAUCUGCAUUUAGUUGAGGUAUAUCAUUAGUGAUGCUUUCAUCCAGAGAGACCCCUGUCUCUUCUGGUUUAGCAAAUAAUUUUUUGUAAAAUUCAGAGAUAUAUAAUUUUAAGUUCUCGUGUCCUAUAAUUGUUCCUUCAUCUUGCUCAAGUUGAGUAAAAUUUUUUUCCUGUGUUUGCCAUUUGCAAUCAUGUUGAAGAAUUGUGUGUUAUCAUCCCCAUGAACCACCUUUGCCACCUUGGUUCUAGUUGCCCAUUUCAUCUCCUCUUCUCUUAGGAGUUUUUGCAACCUCCUCUCAGCAUCAAUCUUUUUAUUCCUGUCCGUCAAAUUGAGUUGAUUAGACUCCCCCACCAUAAGUGGUAAUCUUUCGUCUCCACAAAUCCGUACCAAAUCUGCCAGAAAAUGAGGUUUGAGUUCUGGUUGCGCUGCCCCAUAUACAGCCACCAGAGCCCACCUGAACCCAUCGGUCUUCGACCUCAGUCGAAAUUUAACCGUGAACUCGCCAUAUAUCACAUUCAUCACCUCUAAUGUUUCACAUUUUACCCCAAGUAAGAUCCCACCAGAUCUUCCCCUUGGCGGCAAACAAUGCCAGUCAAAAUCAACCCCUCCCGAGAGGAUAUUAAGAAAUUGCGGUGUGAAAUUAUCCCUACCCGUUUCUUGUAAAGCUAUAAAGCCAAGUUUAUGUUCGAGAGAUGCUUCUCUAAGGAACCUUCUUUUAGCCAAGUCCGCUAGACCUCUGCUAUUCCAAAAAAUCCCUUUCAUAUCUCAUCAUGAAUUUUUUUCUUUUGUUUUACUCUGGCACUCCUCCUGACCGCUGAUUGAGGAAAUACUUUUCUAUUCCAAGGUCUCUUGGGUUUGUCUUUAAUACCAUCUAAGUUAUUUUGUACUACUCUGACAUUUGGAAGACAACCGUCAAUCGAAGGAGCCACAUACCCCUCCGAUCCCAUGUCAUCCAGAUCUACCUCAUCUUCCUCUAAAUGUAGUAAAUUGUCACAAAGAGUCUGUAAUUGUGCACCUCCUAAGUCAUUAAUAUCUGAAUCUUCCAUUGGUUUUAAUGCUGCUAAAUGCUGAAUAAAGUCAAUGGUUCUGUCUGCUUCUAAGUCUAAAAUAUCAUUGAUAGAUUUAGCUACUUGUUUGCCUGAGGAACCAAGGUAAAUACCUAUGUCGCUAGCAUUAUUAAUAAUAUCUGAAUCUGAAAGUUGAAGAAUUGAUGCUUCAGGAACGACACACAUACCUGAAGUGUUUUCAGCAUCUCUGAUUUUAGCGGCCCUCAUGGCACGCCCUAUGGACAUGUCAUCAGCAUCUGGUUGUUCCUAGAAACGUUGACUGUAGCGUUUAUUUCCAGAGGAAGGAUCUGCGAUCCCUCCAAAUGAGAUCACCUCCUCCAUAGAUACCUCUGAAUGUUUACGACCGUCUGUCGCACAUCCUCCCGUGGCUGCAUCUCCCUCCGGAUCAGCCGUAUGAGCUGUGGGUAAUAUGGUCGUAGGAUAUGUCACGUGGUCCUCCUGAAUGAUGACACGUGCAUUAUCAUACAGAUUUUGGGACUGCGAAUGAAUGUCGCUGCACCCAGUUAUCAGGAUGUCAUGAUGCACCGAAUUGUCGCUGCAAUGUUGCCCAAGGCCCUCUCCUGUCCGCUGCGAGUCCGCCGGCGUGGAAGGAGAAAAAUGAUCAGUGCUUUCCUUCGAAUUCUGUGUCAUACAGUUAUUCCAAAUCUGACUGCCGUUGCCCUACGGCGAACUAGGCAACGUAAUCUUGCGUCUGCUAUACUCCUGCUGCGGUAUGAGUACUGUAUUUUCCUGGACCUUACAUGCAUGGUGUUUCUGGGCAUUGUCCCCGUGCAUAUCCUGGAGCAUGCAUGCAUACUGUACCUGAUCAUUAUUUGGAACAUGCACACUAGCAUUGCUGGCCACAGUGCCGAGCACCCAAAUUUUAAAUUGAGCUGCACCCCCCUAAGCGACCCCAUAUCAUGCAUGACUCAAAUGAUCCGAGACGUAGGGUAUCCAUAUGAGCAGAAGAAAGAUGAAGGGUGUAAACCUCAUUAAAAGGGUGACUUAUCCUUUCGGAGAAGAUGAUGAAGGGAUGAACGCCAUCCUUAGACCUCUCAGAGCUCUUUUCUUUAUCUGUAUCACCAUGAUCUUUGUGACGCUCAUCUCCAUCAGUCAUAUGAACAUCACCCAUCAUUAGACUUUGUAGGUACGUCCCACCCUCUACCUCCACAUCAAGAUCAUAAUGAACUCCAUCAUAUGACCAAGGUGCGAAAUCAGGAAUAUAUUCAACAUCUAGCACCAUCACAAGCAAUCUGGCUAUCCCCCUUUUGCGAGUAAACGGCAUGUCGACUUUUUCUGUCUUGCCAAUAAGUGAUCCAAGGCUCCAUACAAUAAGAAAAUCAUUAAGUAAAGUUUCUGGUAUGCCUGAAAACCUGAUCCAUACCUUCUGUAACCGUGUACCCUGUGGUUCUGGUUUUUUACACUCCUCAAACUCAAGCAUGCAUUUACUCCCACUGACCCUGCUGACCCCAAAAGUAAGCAAACGUUGGAGAUCCUCUCUUCUAGGAAACUCCACUUGAAAGCUAUGAUCAUCAAGUCGUUCUGGUGCCCACUGGUAUGUUUCAGACACAAGUCUUCUCAAUUGUUGGGAGAUUUGGUCAACUGAGAGCGAUCCAUUAGUAACUUUAACUAGUCCCGUUCUUGAGCUCUCAAGACGUGGCGGAACAAUAACUGAUGUAGACCGUGGUGUCUCAAAAAACAUAAGUCUAUUUUGACAUACACCAUAUAUAUUAAUGACCGGCUUCGGAACUAGGAGCAAUGGGCAAGCGCUCUCUUCAUGUCCCGGUUUUAGACAAAUAUCGCAUAAUGCCGUAGUGCAAUCCACGACAAAAUGUCCAGGUACUCCACAUCUAUAGCAUGUUAACUUCUCCUUCUUACGAGCGGCUUUGUUAGCCCGAGCCUGGUCUCUGUCCUCGGCCGCCUUAGGUGCAUCCUCCAUAGACAGAUUAUCAACAUUAUCAGUCGCCGCCGGAGUUACUUCUUUCCACUUGGGCAAAUUGUUAUUGCGCCCAAAAGUACGACCACCUCCAGCACCACGCGGACGAUAGUUCGUACCCCUGGCUCCUUCUACAAAGCUUCCUUCCGGAGGAUAAAAGGGUCUGUGCCACAUGUUAGUACCUCCCCCCGACCUCCUCCGACGUUCCAGUUACCUCGUCCCCCUCCU